rnacentral:lncRNA from 1 species
UAGUAGUUCAAAUUCCUUCUACAUUUGAGAUAAAUAUAUGUGGUUUAAGCACUUCUUUUCUCAUUUAACUUGGAAAUGACUAUUAUGUGAUUAUAAUUUUGCAUUUGUAGGAAAAUAUAUCUUGUGAAGUGGAGAAAAUUAUGCCUAUAUUUUUUUUUUUGCAUAUUUGAUGAAAUUUCUUCUCUUUAUUGGAUUUUAUAAGUUAAGUGAUAAAUAUGGUCAAUAAGUGCAAUACUCUUCUCAUGAUUAUUUUUUUAGAAACUUAUUAUUCUCUUUGCUAUAAAAAAAAAUGAUGAAAAAUGAAAAAAAUGAAGAAAAAGAGAAAAACAAUAAACAAAAGAAAAAAGAAAAUAAAUAAAAAUUCUUCUACUCCAAUGAUUCUUGUACUUAGUAACCGGGAGUCUUCAUCUACAAAUGUCGACUUUCGCGUAAAACGGUACUUGAAUUAAGAGUAUGCAAAGCAACUUGAGUAUGUGAAGUGUUGAGUAACCGGUGAUCUUCAUCUAAAAAUGUCGAUUCUCGCGUCAAAAGGCAUUCUCACAACUUAAGUAAAAUUUAGCUAUGUUAUACGAAUAAAUAUCCUUUUAAGUAGAAUAAAGAGAUGAUCAUGAGUUUAGGAAGCAUUAUUAUUGACCAUAUGAGUUACUUGCGUAUGAAAUUAAGUAAGAAUGAGAAAUUGAAUUAAACUUGUUAUAAUUGCGGUAUAAUUGGCUCUCCUUUACUUGAUAUUAUGAGUACUUGAAUUUAAUUGAAUAAUUGCAUAAUGGUUAUUUACUUUGUUUUGAGAAAAUGAAGUUGAAAUGCUACAUAUAUUUAUUUUCAAAUUUUGGAUCAUUGUUGGUUUGUAUUUCUUAUUACUUGAGGACAAGCAAUGGUUCAAGUGUGGGGGUAUUUGACAAGGGUUUAUUUUACGUAUUUUUAGUGUGUUUUAUUAGUUAAUUUUGGUUUGAUUAUUUAGUUUUAUAACUAAAAUAACUAAGGUUUUGGUAAAAAACUACAUUUUAUGUUAAAGUGGCUAAACAUUGCAUUUUAUGGAUUUUUAUGGUAAAAACUUCAUAUUUUGUAGGUUUAAUGAUUCAAUCAUCAAAUGAAGUGCAUUGACAAGAUAUUUGGAUGAUUGAAGAUGGAUUAAAGUGGUGAAAAUAAAAUAUGAAGUGUAAAAGGAAAAAUGCAAUUUGAAUCAAGAAAAGUCAGGUUUGUUUGACAACUCUGACACAUUUUGGUAUUUUGACUAUAUCUGGAGCUACACUGAUCGGAUUGAGGUGAUCUUUACACCAAUUUAAAGCUAAGAAAGAGAUCUACAUUUGGUAUGAAGACAUCAAAGUCCAAUUCAGCCGUUUUCAUAGUCCAAAAGUUGAAAUACCGAAAUUCAACUCAGCUGUCCAAAGUGAAAAACAGAGUUCUGACCAGUCUUUAGUAUUUUGGUCAUAUCUCAGGCUACAAAGCUCCGAUCUAGAUGAUUUUUAUAGCAUUGGAAAUCUAACUCAAAGGGCUACAACUUUGGUGUUUUGCACAAAAGCCAGUUCAGCCUUUAUGAUAGAGAAAAUCGCAGUUGAAGUAAGGACAAAGUGAAUACGCGAGUACACAAAACGUGACUUGUAACCGCGUUUUGUGUAGGCGCGUUUUCUGGCCGCAAUUCUGCAAUUUUCUCAGUCAAUUCUCUUAUGUUCAAACUACUUUCCAGCUACAAUCUGCAAGAGAAUUCGGUGCACAUGCUUCAGAAGACAAAAGGGCAGACAAGGUGGCUUAUUUUCAAGUCAAAAACAUUUGUUAUUGACUAUCCUAACAAAGUUGAGAUUUGGGAAUCAAAAGGAGGAAUUUGACUUGAAAAAAUGGAGCUCUUGAGCAGUUUAUAUGCAGAGACAUUUGGGAGGUCAGAGAAUGAUACGGGAGAAGCUUGAAGAGUGCAGAAAUGUAGUUCUUCCAUUUCCUUAGUGUAGGUUAGUUUAGCUAGUUAGUUCAUCCAUUCUUGUAUAUUGCUAGAUUAGGAUGAAGAUGGAGAUGAAGAAGGAGGAGUUGAAACUCAUGUGACAAGGGUUAUCUCUUCUCCAAUUCUUUAUCUUUUGUACUUGAUUCCAAAUUUAGUUAAUAUGCAAUUUCUGGAAUUUAUGUUAUUUAUGUGUCUCUAAAGUUUAUGCCUUGGGUUUGGUUGAACUUUCUAUAAUUGGUAGUGUUUAUUAUUUGGUUAUUUGAUUGCUAUGAUUUGAGCAAAUUAUUUAGCACUUUGGCUCUUUAAAUCAUGAUUAAUCUAGUACCAUUAAUUGUGAUUAUCUAAGGUGUUAUUUCUACAAUGAAAAUUGAGAUUUAACAUUAGUUCAAGAAGUGCUAAACAUAGGGAGUACACUCACGAAAGUAGAGGUGCACCUAUGGGGUUUUAGUGAAUAUAUUCCAUGUAAUUUCAAUGAAGAAGAACUGGUAGCUAAUUUCAUAUAAGCGCAUAGAGAAUAGGUAUGGAUUAGUUAUAAGUAUAAUUGAUUCACUACGAAAGUAGGAUUCAAAUGCAUAAGGAAAUUACACCAUAAUUAGCCUAGAUGUAGUAUUCAAUGAUCCAAAUAUAACACUUGCAUGAGUAGUUAGGGAUACCACAACCCAAGGAGCUUUUAUUUCUUAAUUUCUUGUAUAAGUGCAGUAGGUUAAAUUUCUUAUCAUUAAUUGAUAGUCUAAAUAAUAGGGAAGCUUUAGUAAUACCGGUAAUUGUUCACUCUUUCCUUUGGGAUCGACCCGAUAUAUACCCUAAACUACUAGUUGACCUGUAUACUUGCAGUGAACGGGUGUAAUUCGGUUUUUUAACUUGUACGUAUGUAAAAUACCCGUCAAGUUUUUGGCGCCAUUGCCGGGGAGGAUUUGGCAAUAUCGGUGUGAAGAGCAACUUUAUUAAUUUAGACAAUUUUUCUUAUUUUUGUUGUUUUUGUUGUAUCUUAUGUGUUUUAUGUCAUUUUUUUUUUAGUCAACUUUUAUUUUAUUUUUUUUCUGUUUUAUUUUGUGUCUUGGAAUCUAUCCUUCUUAACUAAUCUUACUUUUGAUGAUUGUUUAAAAUAAUUUUCAAGAUAUGAGGAGGUAGGUGAAAUUGGAGGACAAAGCUUGAGAAUAGAAGGAUUGGCAUGGAUGGUUGCCUAGUGGCAAAGGCUCCCUUCAGCGGCCAGAAAAGGUAACGCAAGAAAUUAGCGCAGGGUAUGUCUUUUUGAAGAUGGUUUAAGGAUGGCUAAGGCAAAAUUUGAUGUUUAUGGUACAAAUUCAAAUGACACCCAAUUAUGCAUGAAAUUGAGUGGCAACGGAAGGAAUGUUAAUCGCUUUUAAUUCUUAUGCAUGUGAUUCUGUGACUUGUGUGGCAGAUUAUCAUGCUACUAAUACAUGUAGCAGCAAAGCACAAAAUGUGGUUAUUAUGAUAAUUGGCAGCAUUGACAAUCCCUGUUUUUGAUCGAGUAUACGGUGCUAUUGAGCAAUUCUCCUGCUUAUGGUUGGGAUACAUCAUGUACAUACAGUGAUUAUUCAUAAUUUUUAUUGUUACCAACCUGAAAGUGUACUAAUUUGAAUCAAAACCAUGAUUGGGAGUUGGCAUAGAUGAAGUUAGCUAAUGCACCUCUUACCUUAGGGAGUUAGAAAAUGACCAUUAGCUAAUAUUCUAAUGCAUCCUUGGUGAGCUAGCUUAGAAUAUUUUUCUACGAUCAAAUUUGAUUCAGAAAUGAGAAAAGCUAGCAAAAUGCACCUCUGACCGUUUUUUGAAUACGGAAUUGAGGAAAGGUUAGAUGAAUUACUUUCUCACUUUGGUGAUAACAAUGAGCAAUUGAAUGUAUUGUGUGAAGUUAUUCUUCUAAAUAAUUUGCAAAAUGAUCCUAGCAUGAAUGGGCGAGAAAUGUUUGUAUGUGAAUGGAUGCAUUUGGAUGAAAAAUGCUGGAAUUCAUUAUAUUUUCAAUGAGCAAAUAUCCAUUUCAACAUGAUAAUACUUUGAAAGCUAACUUUGACGCCUCAAGAGGUGAGUUUUUAAUGACUCAUUUUUCACAUCCUCUUGAGUGAGUGCAGUGAAAGUAUAGGUUCUAAAGGUAUUCCUGCCAAGAAUACUCUGUAUGACAUUUCCUUGUAAAGUUCUCUAAGUGUGGCAUAUUCAAGGUAAUAUUUAUGAAACAGCUUGGAAUAUGUUAAGUCACUUUCAUUUCCACAUCAUUAAGAUUGAUGUGGCUUUCGGCGAUACAGCCCCUUUUUAAUGUAUCCGCCCAACGGCCUAAAAUGUGGAGUUAUCUCGUUAACUAAGCCUCCUUGAAAAUUAAGGUGAAAUAGUCAAGCUUAUUGCUUCUAAAGAAGCGCUUAUUGGAGGCAACCAAUGUUUGUUUAAGUUUAUGUUUAUUUUGGGGCUGAUUUUAUGUUUAAAGUAAUGUGUUUUGAGUUAUUUUGUUAUUUUUCAUUUGUAGGAUAUUGGAAAUGGCGCAAAAGUGACCAAAUGAGUGUGAAAAGUGCGAACACUUUGAAUCUAAGGACUCAACCGCUCUGAUUUGAAGACUAACAUAGAUAUAUUUAUGAUCCGUUAAACCAGGGGCUAAAAUGCAUGUUUUUAAUGUUUUACUAUGUGUGCACAUUUGAUAAAUUUUUACAACAAAUAUUUAUGAUGAUUUUGAGUGAUUGGGUAUUAUUUUAUAAAUUUUUCAAAAGCACUCUGAAUUUCUGCUAAAAUUCGGCAGCAGAAACGCGUUUCGUCAAGAAAACGCGCACUUUGAGUCGGCCGUGUUCAAUAGAAUCGCGUUUUCAAUUGCACGGCACGCUGCAGACAAGAAAACGAUCGCCAUUAAAACGCGACUUAACUUUAAGUCGCGUUUUGAAGGACGUCGCGUUUUGUUGCCUGGAUCAAAGAUGAAAACGCGCCAGUGAAAACGCGACUUGAAUUCGCGUUUUCUCACAGAACCGCGUUUUCAGUACUGCAACUUUUGGGAAGAAACGCGCCUUCAAAACCGCGAGUUAAAGGCGCGGUUCUACUCAACGUUUUCUUAGGCAUUUUUUUUUUUGACAAGAAAAAAUGAAGUUUUCGCGUUGAUUCUUUUUUUCUUGUCUUUUCCCUCAUAUAUUUUCUUGUAUGUUGAGGUUGCUUAUGUGUGUAUUUUUUAUAGGUACAUCACAAGAACAAGGGCUUGCAAGUUCGGAUAGCCGUUCUUUGAUGUAUUAAGCGCUUUGUUAUCAGCUUUGGUUCUACAUUUUCCAUUCUUAGGUUUAUAUCACUAAUGGUUAUCCAAUGGAACUCAUGAAGUGAUGAAGACCGGCGAACAACAUACCUUGAAGCUUCAUAUUCAAUCACAACAAUAGGGGAGUAUUAUUUUUCUUUAUCUUCAUUUUCCUUUUUACACAUUGAGGACAAUGUGCAUGUUAAGUGUGGGGGGAGAAUUGAGAUUAUGUACAUUGUAUGUGAUUGACUUAUUAGUUGCAAAUAUUGGACUUGUGUUAAAAUUCAAAUUUUUCUACAAUCUUGUCCAAAAUUGCAAACUUGCCCCAAAAAGUUUCAAUUUUUUCGAAUUUUAUCCAAGGGGUAACAAAGUUCCAUACCAUUAGUAGUUCAAAUUCCUUCUACAUUUGAGAUAAAUAUAUAUGAUUUGGAAACUUCUUUUCUCAUUUAACUUGGAAAUGACUAUUAUGUGAUUAUAAUUUUUGCAUUUGUAGGAAAGUAUAUCUUUUAAAGUGGAGAAAAUUAUGCCUAUAUUUUUUUUGCAUAUUUGAUGAAAUUUCUUCUCUUUAUUGGAUUUUAUAAGUUAAGUGAUAAAUAUGGUCAAUAAUUGCAAUACUCUUCUCAUGAUUAUGCUUUCGAGGGAAUGUUAUUAUCUUUACUUAAAAAAAAAAAAUAAAUGAAAAAAUGAAAAAAAAGAAGAAAAAAAGAUGCUAUUGCUACUCCAAUGAUUCUUGUACUUAGUAACCGGGAGUCUUCAUCUACAAAUGUCGACUUUCGCGUAAAACGGUACUUGAAUUAAGAGUAUGGAAAGCAACUUGAGUAUGUGAAGUGUUGAGUAACCGGUGAUCUUCAUCUAAAAAUGUCGAUUCUCGCGUCAAAAGACACUUUCACAACUUAAGUAAUAUUUAGCUACGUUAUAUGAAUAAAUAUCUGUUUAACUAGAAUAAAAAGAUGAUCAUGAGUUUAGAAAGCAUUUUAUUGACCAUAUGAGUUACUUACUUGUAAGAUUGGGUAAGGAUGAAAAAAUUGAUUUGAAUUUGUUAUAAUGACGGUAUAAUUGGCUCUCCUUUACUUGAUAUUAUGAGUACUUGAACUUAAUUGAAUAAUUGCAUAAUGGUUAUUUACUUUGUUUUGAGGAAAUGAAGUUGAAAUGCUACAUAUGUUUAUUUUCAAAUUUUGAUCAUUGUUGGUUUGUAUUUCUUAUUGCUUGAGGACAAGCAAUGGUUCAAGUGUGGGGGUAUUUGAUAAGAAUAUAAUUUUACGUAUUUUUUAGUGUGUUUUAUUAGUUAAUUUUGGUUUGAUUAUUUAGUUUAUAACUAAAAUAACUAAGGUUUUGGUAAAAACUACAUUGUUAUGUUAAAGUGGCUAAACAUUGCAUUUUAUGGAUUUUUAUGGUAAAAACUUCAUAUUUUUGUAGGUUUAAUGAUUCAAUCAUCAAAUGAAGUGCAUUGAGAAGAUAUUUGGAUGAUUGAAGAUGGAUUAAAGUGGUGAAAAUAAAAUAUGAAGUGUAAAAGGAAAAAUGCAAUUUGAAUCAAGAAAAGUCAGGUUUGUUUGACAACUCUGACACGUUUUGGUAUUUUGACUAUAUCUGGAGCUACACUGAUCGAUUGAGGUGAUCUUUACACCAAUUUAAAGCUAAGAAAGAGAUCUACAUUUGGUAUGAAGACAUCAAAGUCCAAUUCAGCCGUUUUCAUAGUCCAAAAGUUGAAAUACCGAAAUUCAACUCAGCUGUCCAAAGUGAAAACAGAGUUCUGACCAGUCUUUCUAGUAUUUUGGUCAUAAUCUCAGGCUACAAAGCUCCGAUCUAGAUGAUUUUUAUAGCACUUGGAAAGCUAACUCAAAGGGCUACAACUUUGGUGUUUUGCACAAAAGCCAGUUCAGCCUUUAUGAUAGAGAAAAUCGCAGUUGAAGUAAGGACAAAGUGAAUACGCGAGUACCAAACGUGACUUGUAACCGCGUUUUGUGUAGGCGCGUUUUCUGCCGCAAUUCUGCAAUUUGCUCAGUCAAUUCUCUUAUGUUCAAACUACUUUCCAGCUACAAUCUGCAAGAGAAUUCGUGCACAUGCUUCAGAAGACAAAAGGGCAGACAAGGUGGCUUAUUUUCAAGUCAAAAACAUUUGUUAUUGACUAUCCUAACAAAGUUGAGAUUUGGGAAUCAAAAGGAGGAAUUUGACUUGAAAAAAUGGAGCUCUUGAGCAGUUUAUAUGCAGAGACAUUUGGGAGGUCAGAGAAUGAUACGGGAGAAGCUUGAAGAGUGCAGAAAUGUAGUUCUUCCAUUUCCUUAGUGUAGGUUAGUUUAGCUAGUUAGUUCAUCCAUUCUUGUAUAUUGCUAGAUUAGGAUGAAGAUGGAGAUGAAGAAGGAGGAGUUGAAACUCAUGUGACAAGGGUUAUCUCUUCUCCAAUUCUUUAUCUUUUGUACUUGAUUCCAAAUUUAGUUAAUAUGCAAUUUCUGGAAUUUAUGUUAUUUAUGUGUCUCUAAAGUUUAUGCCUUGGGUUUGGUUGAACUUUCUAUAAUUGGUAGUGUUUAUUAUUUGGUUAUUUGAUUGCUAUGAUUUGAGCAAAUUAUUUAGCACUUUGAGCUAAAUUUCUAAGGUGACCAUGAGAGUAUACGAAAGUAGGUGGUGGUUUUUAGUUAGUAAUUUCAUAAGUUGUAUAAUUUCAAAUGAGAAUUCACUACGAAAGUAGGAUUCAAAUGCAUAAGGAAAUUACACCAUAAUUAGCCUAGAUGUAGUAUUCAAUGAUCCAAAUAUAACACUUGCAUGAGUAGUUAGGGAUACCACAACCCAAGGAGCUUUUAUUUCUUAAUUUCUUGUAUAAGUGCAGUAGGUUAAAUUUCUUAUCAUUAAUUGAUAGUCUAAAUAAUAGGGAAGCUUUAGUAAUACCGGUAAUUGUUCACUCUUUCCUGUGGGAUCGACCCGAUAUAUACCCUAAACUACUAGUUGACCUGUAUACUUGCAGUGAACGGGUGUAAUUCGGUUUUUUAACUUGUACGUAUGUAAAAUACCCGUCAAGUUUUUGGCGCCAUUGCCGGGGAGGAUUUGGCAAUAUCGGUGUGAAGAGCAACUUUAUUAAUUUAGACAAUUUUUCUUAUUUUUGUUGUUUUUGUUGUAUCUUAUGUGUUUUAUGUCAUUUUUUUUUUAGUCAACUUUUAUUUUAUUUUUUUUCUGUUUUAGUUUGUGUCUUGGAAUCUAUCCUUCUUAACUAAUCUUACUUUUGAGAUUGUUUAAAAGUAAUUUUAGAUAAUGAGGAGGGUAGGUGAAUUGGGAGGACAAAGCUUGAGAAAUGAAGGAUUGGCAAUGGAUGGUUGCCUAGUGCAAAGCUCCUUCAACAGAGGUAACCAAGAAAUUACUGAGGGUAUGUCUUUUGAAGAUGGUUUAAGGUGCUUAAAGGCAAAAUUUGAUGUUAUGAUGUUACAAAUUCAAAUGGACACAAUUAUGCAUGAAAUUGAGCAAGGGAGGAAUGUUAAUGCUUUUAAUUCUUAUCAUGUGAUUUGUGACUUGUGUGGAGAUUAUCAUGCUACUAAUACAUGUAGGCAAGCACAAAAUGUGGAUUAUUAUGAUGAAUUGGAGCAUUACAAUCCCUGUUUUGAUCGAUAUAGUGCUAAUUGGAGCAAUUCUCCUGCUUAUGGUUGGGAUAAUCAAUGUACAUACAGUGAUUAUUCAUAUUUUUAUGGUUACCAACCUGAAAGUGUCUAAUUUGAAUCAAAACCAUCUUGGGAGUUGGCAAUAGAGAAGUUAGCUAAUGCACCUCUACCUUGGGAGUUAGAAAAUGAACCAUUAGCUAAUAAUUCUAAUGCAUCUUGGGAGCUAGCUUUAGAAAAUUUUUCUAAUCAAUUUGAUUCAGCAAUAGAAAAGCUAGCAAAUGCAACCUCUGACCGUUUUGAUAGGAUUGAGGAAAGGUUAGAUGAAUUAGCUUCUCACUUUGGUGAUAUACAUGAGCAAUUGAAUGUAUUGUGUGAAGUUAUUUCUUCUAAUAAUUUGCAAAAUGAUCCUAGCAUGAAUGGCGAGAAUGUUGUAUGUGAAAAUGGAUUGCAUUUGGAUGAAAAUGAUGAAUCUCAAUUAUAUUUCAAUGAGCAAAUAUCCAUUUCACAUGAUAAUACCUUUGAAACUAACUUUGAGCCUCAAGAGGUGAGUUUUAAUGACUCAUUUUUCACCCCUCUUGAGGAGUGCAGUGAAAGUAUAGGUUCUAAAGGUAUUCCUGCCCAAGAUACUCUUAUGACAUUUCCUUUGGUAAGUUCUCAAGUGGUGCAUAUUCAAGGUAAUAUUUAUGAAACACUUGGAAUAUGUAAGUCACUUUCAUUUCUCACAUCAUUAGAUUAUGUGGCUUUCGCGAUAAAGCCACCUUUUAAUGAUCCACCACGGCCUAAAAUGGUGGAUUAUUCGUUAACUAAGCCUCCUUGAAAAAUAAGGUGAAAUAGUCAAGCUAUUGACUUUAAAGAAGCGCUUAUUGGGAGGCAACCCAAUGUUUGUUUAAGUUUAUGUUAUUUUGGGGUGAUUUUAUGUUUAAAGUAUGUGUUUGAGUUAUUUUGUUAUUUUUCAUUUGUAGGUAUUGGAAAUGGAAGCAAAAGUGACCAAAUGAGGUGAAAAAGGCGAAAUUUGAUCAAGGAACUCAACCCCUCGAUUUGAGUAAUUGUUGUUUUUGAUCCGUUAAAAGGGGCUAAAAUGCAUGUUUUUAAUGUUUUACAUGUGUGCACAUUGAUAAAUUUUACAAACAAAUGAUUUAUGAUGCAUUUUGAGUGAUUGGGGUAUUAUUUAUAAAUUUUCAAAAGUUGAAUUUCUGCUAAAAUUCGCAGCAGAAAACGCGUUUCUCAAGAAAACGCGCCUCUGAGUCGCGUGUUCAUAGAAUCGCGUUUUCAAUUCCGCACCUGCAGAACAGAAAACACGCCAUUAAAACGCGACUUAACUUUAAGUCGCGUUUUGAAGGACGUCGCGUUUUGUUGCCUGGAUCAAAGAUGAAAACGCGCCAGUGAAAACGCGACUUGAAUUCGCGUUUUCUCACAGAACCGCGUUUUCAGUACUGCAACUUUUGGGAAGAAACGCGCCUUCAAAACCGCGAGUUAAAGGCGCGUUUCUACUCACGUUUUCUGAGCAUUUUUUUUUUGAAAGAAAAAAUGCAGUUUCCUUGAUUCUCUUUUUCUUCUUUUCCUCAUAUAUUUUCUUGUAUCUUGAGUUGCUUAUUGUGUAUUUUUUAUAGGUACAUCACCAAAACAAGGGCUUGAAGUUACGGAUAGCCGUUUUGAUGUCUUAAGCCUUUGUUAUCACUUUGGUUUCUCAUUUUCCAUUCUUAGGUUUAUAUCACUAAUGGUUAUCCAAUGGAACUCAUGAAGUGAUGAAGACCGGCGAACAACAUACCUUGAAGCUUCAUAUUCAAUCACAACAAUAGGGGAGUAUUAUUUUUCUUUAUCUUCAUUUUCCUUUUUACACAUUGAGGACAAUGUGCAUGUUAAGUGUGGGGGGAGAAUUGAGAUUAUAUAUAUUGUAUGUGAUUGACUUAUUAGUUGCAAAUAUUGGACUUGUGUUAAAAUUCAAAAUCUUUCUAACAUCUUGUCCAAAAUUGCAAAUUUGCCCCAAAAAUUUUAAAUUUUAAAUUUCAUCCAAAGGGGUAACAAAGUUCCAUACCAUUAGUAGUUCAAAUUCCUUCUACAUUUGAGAUAAAUAUAUGUGGUUUAGGCACUUCUUUUCUCAUUUAACUUGGAAAUGACUAUUAUGUGAUUAUAAUUUUUGCAUUUGUAGGAAAGUAUAUCUUUUAAAGUGGAGAAAAUUAUGCCUAUAUUUUUUUUUUUUUGCAUAUUUGAUGAAAUUUCUUCUCUUUAUUGGAUUUUAUAAGUUAAGUGAUAAAUAUGGUCAAUAAUUGCAAUACUCUUCUCAUGAUUAUGCUUUCGAGGGAAUGUUAUUAUCUUUACUUAAAAAUAAAUAAAUAAAUAAAUAAAUAAAAAAGAAGAAAAAAAAAGAUCUAUUCUACUCCAAUGAUUCUUGUACUUAGUAACCGGGAGUUUUCAUCUACAAAUGUCGACUUUCGCGUAAAACGGUACUUGAAUUAAGAGUAUGCAAAGCAAUUUGAGUAUGCGAAGUGUUGAGUAACCGGUGAUCUUCAUCUAAAAAUGUCGAUUCUCGCGUCAAAAGACACUUUCACAACUUAAGUAAUAUUUAGCUACGUUAUAUGAAUAAAUAUCUGUUUAAGUAGAAUAAAAAGAUGAUCAUGAGUUUAGAAAGCAUUUUAUUGACCAUAUGAGUUACUUACUUGUAAGAUUGGGUAAGGAUGAAAAAAUUGAUUUGAAUUUGCUAUAAUGACGGUAUAAUUGGCUCUCCUUUACUUGAUAUUAUGAGUACUUGAACUUAAUUGAAUAAUUGCAUAAUGGUUAUUUACUUUGUUUUGAGGAAAUGAAGUUGAAAUGCUACAUAUGUUUAUUUUCAAAUUUUGAUCAUUGUUGGUUUGUAUUUCUUAUUGCUUGAGGACAAGCAAUGGUUCAAGUGUGGGGGUAUUUGAUAAGAAUAUAUUUUACGUAUUUUUUAGUGUGUUUUAUUAGUUAAUUUUGGUUUGAUUAUUUAGUAUUAUAACUAAAAUAACUAAGGUUUUGGUAAAAAACUACAUUUUAUGUUAAAGUGGCUAAACAUUGCAUUUUAUGGAUUUUUAUGGUAAAAACUUCAUAUUUUGUAGGUUUAAUGAUUCAAUCAUCAAAUGAAGUGCAUUGAGAAGAUAUUUGGAUGAUUGAAGAUGGAUUAAAGUGGUGAAAAUAAAAUAUGAAGUGUAAAAGGAAAAAUGCAAUUUGAAUCAAGAAAAGUCAGGUUUGUUUGACAACUCUGACACGUUUUGGUAUUUUGACUAUAUCUGGAGCUACACUGAUCGGAUUGAGGUGAUCUUUACACCAAUUUAAAGCUAAGAAAGAGAUCUACAUUUGGUAUGAAGACAUCAAAGUCCAAUUCAGCCGUUUUCAUAGUCCAAAAGUUGAAAUACCGAAAUUCAACUCAGCUGUCCAAAGUGAAAAACAGAGUUCUGACCAGUCUUUAGUAUUUUGGUCAUAUCUCAGGCUACAAAGCUCCGAUCUAGAUGAUUUUUAUAGCAUUGGAAAUCUAACUCAAAGGGCUACAACUUUGGUGUUUUGCACAAAAGCCAGUUCAGCCUUUAUGAUAGAGAAAAUCGCAGUUGAAGUAAGGACAAAGUGAAUACGCGAGUACACAAAACGUGACUUGUAACCGCGUUUUGUGUAGGCGCGUUUUCUGGCCGCAAUUCUGCAAUUUGCUCAGUCAAUUCUCUUAUGUUCAAACUACUUUCCAGCUACAAUCUGCAAGAGAAUUCGGUGCACAUGCUUCAGAAGACAAAAGGGCAGACAAGGUGGCUUAUUUUCAAGUCAAAAACAUUUGUUAUUGACUAUCCUAACAAAGUUGAGAUUUGGGAAUCAAAAGGAGGAAUUUGACUUGAAAAAAUGGAGCUCUUGAGCAGUUUAUAUGCAGAGACAUUUGGGAGGUCAGAGAAUGAUACGGGAGAAGCUUGAAGAGUGCAGAAAUGUAGUUCUUCCAUUUCCUUAGUGUAGGUUAGUUUAGCUAGUUAGUUCAUCCAUUCUUGUAUAUUGCUAGAUUAGGAUGAAGAUGGAGAUGAAGAAGGAGGAGUUGAAACUCAUGUGACAAGGGUUAUCUCUUCUCCAAUUCUUUAUCUUUUGUACUUGAUUCCAAAUUUAGUUAAUAUGCAAUUUCUGGAAUUUAUGUUAUUUAUGUGUCUCUAAAGUUUAUGCCUUGGGUUUGGUUGAACUUUCUAUAAUUGGUAGUGUUUAUUAUUUGGUUAUUUGAUUGCUAUGAUUUGAGCAAAUUAUUUAGCACUUUGGCUCUUUAAAUCAUGAUUAAUCUAGUACCAUUAAUUGUGAUUAUCUAAGGUGUUAUUUCUGCAAUGAAAAUUGAGAUUUAACAUUAGUUCAAGAAGUGCUAAAUAUAGGGAGUACACUCACGAAAGUAGAGGUGCACCUAUGUGGUUUUUAGUGAUAUAUUUCAUGUAAUUUCAAUGAAGAAAGAACUUGUAGCUAAUUUCAUAACCAUGAGAAUAGGUAUGGAUUAGUUAUAAGUAUAAUUGAUUCACUACGAAAGUAGGAUUCAAAUGCAUAAGGAAAUUACACCAUAAUUAGCCUAGAUGUAGUAUUCAAUGAUCCAAAUAUAACACUUGCAUGAGUAGUUAGGGAUACCACAACCCAAGGAGCUUUUAUUUCUUAAUUUCUUGUAUAAGUGCAGUAGGUUAAAUUUCUUAUCAUUAAUUGAUAGUCUAAAUAAUAGGGAAGCUUUAGUAAUACCGGUAAUUGUUCACUCUUUCCUUUGGGAUCGACCCGAUAUAUACCCUAAACUACUAGUUGACCUGUAUACUUGCAGUGAACGGGUGUAAUUCGGUUUUUUAACUUGUACGUAUGUAAAAUACCCGUCAAGUUUUUGGCGCCAUUGCCGGGGAGGAUUUGGCAAUAUCGGUGUGAAGAGCAACUUUAUUAAUUUAGACAAUUUUUCUUAUUUUUGUUGUUUUUGUUGUAUCUUAUGUGUUUUAUGUCAUUUUUUUUUAGUCAACUUUUAUUUUAUUUUUUUUCUGUUUUAGUUUGUGUCUUGGAAUCUAUCCUUCUUAACUAAUCUUACUUUUGAGAUUGUUUAAAAGUAAUUUUAGAUAAUGAGGAGGGUAGGUGAAUUGGGAGGACAAAGCUUGAGAAAUGAAGGAUUGGCAAUGGAUGGUUGCCUAGUGCAAAGCUCCUUCAACAGAGGUAACCAAGAAAUUACUGAGGGUAUGUCUUUUGAAGAUGGUUUAAGGUGCUUAAAGGCAAAAUUUGAUGUUAUGAUGUUACAAAUUCAAAUGGACACAAUUAUGCAUGAAAUUGAGCAAGGGAGGAAUGUUAAUGCUUUUAAUUCUUAUCAUGUGAUUUGUGACUUGUGUGGAGAUUAUCAUGCUACUAAUACAUGUAGGCAAGCACAAAAUGUGGAUUAUUAUGAUGAAUUGGAGCAUUACAAUCCCUGUUUUGAUCGAUAUAGUGCUAAUUGGAGCAAUUCUCCUGCUUAUGGUUGGGAUAAUCAAUGUACAUACAGUGAUUAUUCAUAUUUUUAUGGUUACCAACCUGAAAGUGUCUAAUUUGAAUCAAAACCAUCUUGGGAGUUGGCAAUAGAGAAGUUAGCUAAUGCACCUCUACCUUGGGAGUUAGAAAAUGAACCAUUAGCUAAUAAUUCUAAUGCAUCUUGGGAGCUAGCUUUAGAAAAUUUUUCUAAUCAAUUUGAUUCAGCAAUAGAAAAGCUAGCAAAUGCAACCUCUGACCGUUUUGAUAGGAUUGAGGAAAGGUUAGAUGAAUUAGCUUCUCACUUUGGUGAUAUACAUGAGCAAUUGAAUGUAUUGUGUGAAGUUAUUUCUUCUAAUAAUUUACAAAAUGAUCCUAGCAUGAAUGGCGAGAAUGUUGUAUGUGAAAAUGGAUUGCAUUUGGAUGAAAAUGAUGAAUCUCAAUUAUAUUUCAAUGAGCAAAUAUCCAUUUCACAUGAUAAUACCUUUGAAACUAACUUUGAGCCUCAAGAGGUGAGUUUUAAUGACUCAUUUUUCACCCCUCUUGAGGAGUGCAGUGAAAGUAUAGGUUCUAAAGGUAUUCCUGCCCAAGAUACUCUUAUGACAUUUCCUUUGGUAAGUUCUCAAGUGGUGCAUAUUCAAGGUAAUAUUUAUGAAACACUUGGAAUAUGUAAGUCACUUUCAUUUCUCACAUCAUUAGAUUAUGUGGCUUUCGCGAUAAAGCCACCUUUUAAUGAUCCACCACGGCCUAAAAUGGUGGAUUAUUCGUUAACUAAGCCUCCUUGAAAAAUAAGGUGAAAUAGUCAAGCUAUUGACUUUAAAGAAGCGCUUAUUGGGAGGCAACCCAAUGUUUGUUUAAGUUUAUGUUAUUUUGGGGUGAUUUUAUGUUUAAAGUAUGUGUUUGAGUUAUUUUGUUAUUUUUCAUUUGUAGGUAUUGGAAAUGGAAGCAAAAGUGACCAAAUGAGGUGAAAAAGGCGAAAUUUGAUCAAGGAACUCAACCCCUCGAUUUGAGUAAUUGUUGUUUUUGAUCCGUUAAAAGGGGCUAAAAUGCAUGUUUUUAAUGUUUUACAUGUGUGCACAUUGAUAAAUUUUACAAACAAAUGAUUUAUGAUGCAUUUUGAGUGAUUGGGGUAUUAUUUAUAAAUUUUCAAAAGUUGAAUUUCUGCUAAAAUUCGCAGCAGAAAACGCGUUUCUCAAGAAAACGCGCCUCUGAGUCGCGUGUUCAUAGAAUCGCGUUUUCAAUUCCGCACCUGCAGAACAGAAAACACGCCAUUAAAACGCGACUUAACUUUAAGUCGCGUUUUGAAGGACGUCGCGUUUUGUUGCCUGGAUCAAAGAUGAAAACGCGCCAGUGAAAACGCGACUUGAAUUCGCGUUUUCUCACAGAACCGCGUUUUCAGUACUGCAACUUUUGGGAAGAAACGCGCCUUCAAAACCGCGAGUUAAAGGCGCGUUUCUACUCACGUUUUCUGAGCAUUUUUUUUUUUGAAAGAAAAAAUGCAGUUUCCUUGAUUCUCUUUUUCUUCUUUUCCUCAUAUAUUUUCUUGUAUCUUGAGUUGCUUAUUGUGUAUUUUUUAUAGGUACAUCACCAAAACAAGGGCUUGAAGUUACGGAUAGCCGUUUUGAUGUCUUAAGCCUUUGUUAUCACUUUGGUUUCUCAUUUUCCAUUCUUAGGUUUAUAUCACUAAUGGUUAUCCAAUGGAACUCAUGAAGUGAUGAAGACCGGCGAACAACAUACCUUGAAGCUUCAUAUUCAAUCACAACAAUAGGGGAGUAUUAUUUUUCUUUAUCUUCAUUUUCCUUUUUACACAUUGAGGACAAUGUGCAUGUUAAGUGUGGGGGGAGAAUUGAGAUUAUAUAUAUUGUAUGUGAUUGACUUAUUAGUUGCAAAUAUUGGACUUGUGUUAAAAUUCAAAAUCUUUCUAACAUCUUGUCCAAAAUUGCAAAUUUGCCCCAAAAAUUUUAAAUUUUAAAUUUCAUCCAAAGGGGUAACAAAGUUCCAUACCAUUAGUAGUUCAAAUUCCUUCUACAUUUGAGAUAAAUAUAUGUGGUUUAGGCACUUCUUUUCUCAUUUAACUUGGAAAUGACUAUUAUGUGAUUAUAAUUUUUGCAUUUGUAGGAAAGUAUAUCUUUUAAAGUGGAGAAAAUUAUGCCUAUAUUUUUUUUUUUUUGCAUAUUUGAUGAAAUUUCUUCUCUUUAUUGGAUUUUAUAAGUUAAGUGAUAAAUAUGGUCAAUAAUUGCAAUACUCUUCUCAUGAUUAUGCUUUCGAGGGAAUGUUAUUAUCUUUACUUAAAAAUAAAUAAAUAAAUAAAUAAAUAAAAAAGAAGAAAAAAAAAGAUCUAUUCUACUCCAAUGAUUCUUGUACUUAGUAACCGGGAGUUUUCAUCUACAAAUGUCGACUUUCGCGUAAAACGGUACUUGAAUUAAGAGUAUGCAAAGCAAUUUGAGUAUGCGAAGUGUUGAGUAACCGGUGAUCUUCAUCUAAAAAUGUCGAUUCUCGCGUCAAAAGACACUUUCACAACUUAAGUAAUAUUUAGCUACGUUAUAUGAAUAAAUAUCUGUUUAAGUAGAAUAAAAAGAUGAUCAUGAGUUUAGAAAGCAUUUUAUUGACCAUAUGAGUUACUUACUUGUAAGAUUGGGUAAGGAUGAAAAAAUUGAUUUGAAUUUGCUAUAAUGACGGUAUAAUUGGCUCUCCUUUACUUGAUAUUAUGAGUACUUGAACUUAAUUGAAUAAUUGCAUAAUGGUUAUUUACUUUGUUUUGAGGAAAUGAAGUUGAAAUGCUACAUAUGUUUAUUUUCAAAUUUUGAUCAUUGUUGGUUUGUAUUUCUUAUUGCUUGAGGACAAGCAAUGGUUCAAGUGUGGGGGUAUUUGAUAAGAAUAUAUUUUACGUAUUUUUUAGUGUGUUUUAUUAGUUAAUUUUGGUUUGAUUAUUUAGUUUUAUAACUAAAAUAACUAAGGUUUUGGUAAAAAACUACAUUUUAUGUUAAAGUGGCUAAACAUUGCAUUUUAUGGAUUUUUAUGGUAAAAACUUCAUAUUUUGUAGGUUUAAUGAUUCAAUCAUCAAAUGAAGUGCAUUGAGAAGAUAUUUGGAUGAUUGAAGAUGGAUUAAAGUGGUGAAAAUAAAAUAUGAAGUGUAAAAGGAAAAAUGCAAUUUGAAUCAAGAAAAGUCAGGUUUGUUUGACAACUCUGACACGUUUUGGUAUUUUGACUAUAUCUGGAGCUACACUGAUCGGAUUGAGGUGAUCUUUACACCAAUUUAAAGCUAAGAAAGAGAUCUACAUUUGGUAUGAAGACAUCAAAGUCCAAUUCAGCCGUUUUCAUAGUCCAAAAGUUGAAAUACCGAAAUUCAACUCAGCUGUCCAAAGUGAAAAACAGAGUUCUGACCAGUCUUUAGUAUUUUGGUCAUAUCUCAGGCUACAAAGCUCCGAUCUAGAUGAUUUUUAUAGCAUUGGAAAGCUAACUCAAAGGGCUACAACUUUGGUGUUUUGCACAAAAGCCAGUUCAGCCUUUAUGAUAGAGAAAAUCGCAGUUGAAGUAAGGACAAAGUGAAUACGCGAGUACACAAAACGUGACUUGUAACCGCGUUUUGUGUAGGCGCGUUUUCUGGCCGCAAUUCUGCAAUUUGCUCAGUCAAUUCUCUUAUGUUCAAACUACUUUCCAGCUACAAUCUGCAAGAGAAUUCGGUGCACAUGCUUCAGAAGACAAAAGGGCAGACAAGGUGGCUUAUUUUCAAGUCAAAAACAUUUGUUAUUGACUAUCCUAACAAAGUUGAGAUUUGGGAAUCAAAAGGAGGAAUUUGACUUGAAAAAAUGGAGCUCUUGAGCAGUUUAUAUGCAGAGACAUUUGGGAGGUCAGAGAAUGAUACGGGAGAAGCUUGAAGAGUGCAGAAAUGUAGUUCUUCCAUUUCCUUAGUGUAGGUUAGUUUAGCUAGUUAGUUCAUCCAUUCUUGUAUAUUGCUAGAUUAGGAUGAAGAUGGAGAUGAAGAAGGAGGAGUUGAAACUCAUGUGACAAGGGUUAUCUCUUCUCCAAUUCUUUAUCUUUUGUACUUGAUUCCAAAUUUAGUUAAUAUGCAAUUUCUGGAAUUUAUGUUAUUUAUGUGUCUCUAAAGUUUAUGCCUUGGGUUUGGUUGAACUUUCUAUAAUUGGUAGUGUUUAUUAUUUGGUUAUUUGAUUGCUAUGAUUUGAGCAAAUUAUUUAGCACUUUGGCUCUUUAAAUCAUGAUUAAUCUAGUACCAUUAAUUGUGAUUAUCUAAGGUGUUAUUUCUGCAAUGAAAAUUGAGAUUUAACAUUAGUUCAAGAAGUGCUAAACAUAGGGAGUACACUCACGAAAGUAGAGGUGCACCUAUGUGGUUUUUAGUGAUAUAUUUCAUGUAAUUUCAAUGAAGAAAGAACUUGUAGCUAAUUUCAUAACCAUGAGAAUAGGUAUGGAUUAGUUAUAAGUAUAAUUGAUUCACUACGAAAGUAGGAUUCAAAUGCAUAAGGAAAUUACACCAUAAUUAGCCUAGAUGUAGUAUUCAAUGAUCCAAAUAUAACACUUGCAUGAGUAGUUAGGGAUACCACAACCCAAGGAGCUUUUAUUUCUUAAUUUCUUGUAUAAGUGCAGUAGGUUAAAUUUCUUAUCAUUAAUUGAUAGUCUAAAUAAUAGGGAAGCUUUAGUAAUACCGGUAAUUGUUCACUCUUUCCUUUGGGAUCGACCCGAUAUAUACCCUAAACUACUAGUUGACCUGUAUACUUGCAGUGAACGGGUGUAAUUCGGUUUUUUAACUUGUACGUAUGUAAAAUACCCGUCAAGUUUUUGGCGCCAUUGCCGGGGAGGAUUUGGCAAUAUCGGUGUGAAGAGCAACUUUAUUAAUUUAGACAAUUUUUCUUAUUUUUGUUGUUUUUGUUGUAUCUUAUGUGUUUUAUGUCAUUUUUUUUUUAGUCAACUUUUAUUUUAUUUUUUUUCUGUUUUAGUUUGUGUCUUGGAAUCUAUCCUUCUUAACUAAUCUUACUUUUGAGAUUGUUUAAAAGUAAUUUUAGAUAAUGAGGAGGGUAGGUGAAUUGGGAGGACAAAGCUUGAGAAAUGAAGGAUUGGCAAUGGAUGGUUGCCUAGUGCAAAGCUCCUUCAACAGAGGUAACCAAGAAAUUACUGAGGGUAUGUCUUUUGAAGAUGGUUUAAGGUGCUUAAAGGCAAAAUUUGAUGUUAUGAUGUUACAAAUUCAAAUGGACACAAUUAUGCAUGAAAUUGAGCAAGGGAGGAAUGUUAAUGCUUUUAAUUCUUAUCAUGUGAUUUGUGACUUGUGUGGAGAUUAUCAUGCUACUAAUACAUGUAGGCAAGCACAAAAUGUGGAUUAUUAUGAUGAAUUGGAGCAUUACAAUCCCUGUUUUGAUCGAUAUAGUGCUAAUUGGAGCAAUUCUCCUGCUUAUGGUUGGGAUAAUCAAUGUACAUACAGUGAUUAUUCAUAUUUUUAUGGUUACCAACCUGAAAGUGUCUAAUUUGAAUCAAAACCAUCUUGGGAGUUGGCAAUAGAGAAGUUAGCUAAUGCACCUCUACCUUGGGAGUUAGAAAAUGAACCAUUAGCUAAUAAUUCUAAUGCAUCUUGGGAGCUAGCUUUAGAAAAUUUUUCUAAUCAAUUUGAUUCAGCAAUAGAAAAGCUAGCAAAUGCAACCUCUGACCGUUUUGAUAGGAUUGAGGAAAGGUUAGAUGAAUUAGCUUCUCACUUUGGUGAUAUACAUGAGCAAUUGAAUGUAUUGUGUGAAGUUAUUUCUUCUAAUAAUUUGCAAAAUGAUCCUAGCAUGAAUGGCGAGAAUGUUGUAUGUGAAAAUGGAUUGCAUUUGGAUGAAAAUGAUGAAUCUCAAUUAUAUUUCAAUGAGCAAAUAUCCAUUUCACAUGAUAAUACCUUUGAAACUAACUUUGAGCCUCAAGAGGUGAGUUUUAAUGACUCAUUUUUCACCCCUCUUGAGGAGUGCAGUGAAAGUAUAGGUUCUAAAGGUAUUCCUGCCCAAGAUACUCUUAUGACAUUUCCUUUGGUAAGUUCUCAAGUGGUGCAUAUUCAAGGUAAUAUUUAUGAAACACUUGGAAUAUGUAAGUCACUUUCAUUUCUCACAUCAUUAGAUUAUGUGGCUUUCGCGAUAAAGCCACCUUUUAAUGAUCCACCACGGCCUAAAAUGGUGGAUUAUUCGUUAACUAAGCCUCCUUGAAAAAUAAGGUGAAAUAGUCAAGCUAUUGACUUUAAAGAAGCGCUUAUUGGGAGGCAACCCAAUGUUUGUUUAAGUUUAUGUUAUUUUGGGGUGAUUUUAUGUUUAAAGUAUGUGUUUGAGUUAUUUUGUUAUUUUUCAUUUGUAGGUAUUGGAAAUGGAAGCAAAAGUGACCAAAUGAGGUGAAAAAGGCGAAAUUUGAUCAAGGAACUCAACCCCUCGAUUUGAGUAAUUGUUGUUUUUGAUCCGUUAAAAGGGGCUAAAAUGCAUGUUUUUAAUGUUUUACAUGUGUGCACAUUGAUAAAUUUUACAAACAAAUGAUUUAUGAUGCAUUUUGAGUGAUUGGGGUAUUAUUUAUAAAUUUUCAAAAGUUGAAUUUCUGCUAAAAUUCGCAGCAGAAAACGCGUUUCUCAAGAAAACGCGCCUCUGAGUCGCGUGUUCAUAGAAUCGCGUUUUCAAUUCCGCACCUGCAGAACAGAAAACACGCCAUUAAAACGCGACUUAACUUUAAGUCGCGUUUUGAAGGACGUCGCGUUUUGUUGCCUGGAUCAAAGAUGAAAACGCGCCAGUGAAAACGCGACUUGAAUUCGCGUUUUCUCACAGAACCGCGUUUUCAGUACUGCAACUUUUGGGAAGAAACGCGCCUUCAAAACCGCGAGUUAAAGGCGCGUUUCUACUCACGUUUUCUGAGCAUUUUUUUUUUUGAAAGAAAAAAUGCAGUUUCCUUGAUUCUCUUUUUCUUCUUUUCCUCAUAUAUUUUCUUGUAUCUUGAGUUGCUUAUUGUGUAUUUUUUAUAGGUACAUCACCAAAACAAGGGCUUGAAGUUACGGAUAGCCGUUUUGAUGUCUUAAGCCUUUGUUAUCACUUUGGUUUCUCAUUUUCCAUUCUUAGGUUUAUAUCACUAAUGGUUAUCCAAUGGAACUCAUGAAGUGAUGAAGACCGGCGAACAACAUACCUUGAAGCUUCAUAUUCAAUCACAACAAUAGGGGAGUAUUAUUUUUCUUUAUCUUCAUUUUCCUUUUUACACAUUGAGGACAAUGUGCAUGUUAAGUGUGGGGGGAGAAUUGAGAUUAUAUAUAUUGUAUGUGAUUGACUUAUUAGUUGCAAAUAUUGGACUUGUGUUAAAAUUCAAAAUCUUUCUAACAUCUUGUCCAAAAUUGCAAAUUUGCCCCAAAAAUUUUAAAUUUUAAAUUUCAUCCAAAGGGGUAACAAAGUUCCAUACCAUUAGUAGUUCAAAUUCCUUCUACAUUUGAGAUAAAUAUAUGUGGUUUAGGCACUUCUUUUCUCAUUUAACUUGGAAAUGACUAUUAUGUGAUUAUAAUUUUUGCAUUUGUAGGAAAGUAUAUCUUUUAAAGUGGAGAAAAUUAUGCCUAUAUUUUUUUUUUUUUGCAUAUUUGAUGAAAUUUCUUCUCUUUAUUGGAUUUUAUAAGUUAAGUGAUAAAUAUGGUCAAUAAUUGCAAUACUCUUCUCAUGAUUAUGCUUUCGAGGGAAUGUUAUUAUCUUUACUUAAAAAUAAAUAAAUAAAUAAAUAAAUAAAAAAGAAGAAAAAAAAAGAUCUAUUCUACUCCAAUGAUUCUUGUACUUAGUAACCGGGAGUUUUCAUCUACAAAUGUCGACUUUCGCGUAAAACGGUACUUGAAUUAAGAGUAUGCAAAGCAAUUUGAGUAUGCGAAGUGUUGAGUAACCGGUGAUCUUCAUCUAAAAAUGUCGAUUCUCGCGUCAAAAGACACUUUCACAACUUAAGUAAUAUUUAGCUACGUUAUAUGAAUAAAUAUCUGUUUAAGUAGAAUAAAAAGAUGAUCAUGAGUUUAGAAAGCAUUUUAUUGACCAUAUGAGUUACUUACUUGUAAGAUUGGGUAAGGAUGAAAAAAUUGAUUUGAAUUUGCUAUAAUGACGGUAUAAUUGGCUCUCCUUUACUUGAUAUUAUGAGUACUUGAACUUAAUUGAAUAAUUGCAUAAUGGUUAUUUACUUUGUUUUGAGGAAAUGAAGUUGAAAUGCUACAUAUGUUUAUUUUCAAAUUUUGAUCAUUGUUGGUUUGUAUUUCUUAUUGCUUGAGGACAAGCAAUGGUUCAAGUGUGGGGGUAUUUGAUAAGAAUAUAUUUUACGUAUUUUUUAGUGUGUUUUAUUAGUUAAUUUUGGUUUGAUUAUUUAGUAUUAUAACUAAAAUAACUAAGGUUUUGGUAAAAAACUACAUUUUAUGUUAAAGUGGCUAAACAUUGCAUUUUAUGGAUUUUUAUGGUAAAAACUUCAUAUUUUGUAGGUUUAAUGAUUCAAUCAUCAAAUGAAGUGCAUUGAGAAGAUAUUUGGAUGAUUGAAGAUGGAUUAAAGUGGUGAAAAUAAAAUAUGAAGUGUAAAAGGAAAAAUGCAAUUUGAAUCAAGAAAAGUCAGGUUUGUUUGACAACUCUGACACGUUUUGGUAUUUUGACUAUAUCUGGAGCUACACUGAUCGGAUUGAGGUGAUCUUUACAGCAAUUUAAAGCUAAGAAAGAGAUCUACAUUUGGUAUGAAGACAUCAAAGUCCAAUUCAGCUGUUUUCAUAGUCCAAAAGUUGAAAUACCGAAAUUCAACUCAGCUGUCCAAAGUGAAAAACAGAGUUCUGACCAGUCUUUAGUAGUUUGGUCAUAUCUCAGGCUACAAAGCUCCGAUCUAGAUGAUUUUUAUAGCAUUGGAAAGCUAACUCAAAGGGCUACAACUUUGGUGUUUUGCACAAAAGCCAGUUCAGCCUUUAUGAUAGAGAAAAUCGCAGUUGAAGUAAGGACAAAGUGAAUACGCGAGUACACAAAACGUGACUUGUAACCGCGUUUUGUGUAGGCGCGUUUUCUGGCCGCAAUUCUGCAAUUUGCUCAGUCAAUUCUCUUAUGUUCAAACUACUUUCCAGCUACAAUCUGCAAGAGAAUUCGGUGCACAUGCUUCAGAAGACAAAAGGGCAGACAAGGUGGCUUAUUUUCAAGUCAAAAACAUUUGUUAUUGACUAUCCUAACAAAGUUGAGAUUUGGGAAUCAAAAGGAGGAAUUUGACUUGAAAAAAUGGAGCUCUUGAGCAGUUUAUAUGCAGAGACAUUUGGGAGGUCAGAGAAUGAUACGGGAGAAGCUUGAAGAGUGCAGAAAUGUAGUUCUUCCAUUUCCUUAGUGUAGGUUAGUUUAGCUAGUUAGUUCAUCCAUUCUUGUAUAUUGCUAGAUUAGGAUGAAGAUGGAGAUGAAGAAGGAGGAGUUGAAACUCAUGUGACAAGGGUUAUCUCUUCUCCAAUUCUUUAUCUUUUGUACUUGAUUCCAAAUUUAGUUAAUAUGCAAUUUCUGGAAUUUAUGUUAUUUAUGUGUCUCUAAAGUUUAUGCCUUGGGUUUGGUUGAACUUUCUAUAAUUGGUAGUGUUUAUUAUUUGGUUAUUUGAUUGCUAUGAUUUGAGCAAAUUAUUUAGCACUUUGGCUCUUUAAAUCAUGAUUAAUCUAGUACCAUUAAUUGUGAUUAUCUAAGGUGUUAUUUCUGUAAUGAAAAUUGAGAUUUAACAUUAGUUCAAGAAGUGCUAAACAUAGGGAGUACACUCACGAAAGUAGAGGUGCACCUAUGUGGUUUUUAGUGAUAUAUUUCAUGUAAUUUCAAUGAAGAAAGAACUUGUAGCUAAUUUCAUAACCAUGAGAAUAGGUAUGGAUUAGUUAUAAGUAUAAUUGAUUCACUACGAAAGUAGGAUUCAAAUGCAUAAGGAAAUUACACCAUAAUUAGCCUAGAUGUAGUAUUCAAUGAUCCAAAUAUAACACUUGCAUGAGUAGUUAGGGAUACCACAACCCAAGGAGCUUUUAUUUCUUAAUUUCUUGUAUAAGUGCAGUAGGUUAAAUUUCUUAUCAUUAAUUGAUAGUCUAAAUAAUAGGGAAGCUUUAGUAAUACCGGUAAUUGUUCACUCUUUCCUUUGGGAUCGACCCGAUAUAUACCCUAAACUACUAGUUGACCUGUAUACUUGCAGUGAACGGGUGUAAUUCGGUUUUUUAACUUGUACGUAUGUAAAAUACCCGUCAAGUUUUUGGCGCCAUUGCCGGGGAGGAUUUGGCAAUAUCGGUGUGAAGAGCAACUUUAUUAAUUUAGACAAUUUUUCUUAUUUUUGUUGUUUUUGUUGUAUCUUAUGUGUUUUAUGUCAUUUUUUUUUUAGUCAACUUUUAUUUUAUUUUUUUUCUGUUUUAGUUUGUGUAUUGGAAUCUAUCCUUCUUAACUAAUCUUACUUUUGAGAUUGUUUAAAAGUAAUUUUAGAUAAUGAGGAGGGUAGGUGAAUUGGGAGGACAAAGCUUGAGAAAUGAAGGAUUGGCAAUGGAUGGUUGCCUAGUGCAAAGCUCCUUCAACAGAGGUAACCAAGAAAUUACUGAGGGUAUGUCUUUUGAAGAUGGUUUAAGGUGCUUAAAGGCAAAAUUUGAUGUUAUGAUGUUACAAAUUCAAAUGGACACAAUUAUGCAUGAAAUUGAGCAAGGGAGGAAUGUUAAUGCUUUUAAUUCUUAUCAUGUGAUUUGUGACUUGUGUGGAGAUUAUCAUGCUACUAAUACAUGUAGGCAAGCACAAAAUGUGGAUUAUUAUGAUGAAUUGGAGCAUUACAAUCCCUGUUUUGAUCGAUAUAGUGCUAAUUGGAGCAAUUCUCCUGCUUAUGGUUGGGAUAAUCAAUGUACAUACAAUGAUUAUUCAUAUUUUUAUGGUUACCAACCUGAAAGUGUCUAAUUUGAAUCAAAACCAUCUUGGGAGUUGGCAAUAGAGAAGUUAGCUAAUGCACCUCUACCUUGGGAGUUAGAAAAUGAACCAUUAGCUAAUAAUUCUAAUGCAUCUUGGGAGCUAGCUUUAGAAAAUUUUUCUAAUCAAUUUGAUUCAGCAAUAGAAAAGCUAGCAAAUGCAACCUCUGACCGUUUUGAUAGGAUUGAGGAAAGGUUAGAUGAAUUAGCUUCUCACUUUGGUGAUAUACAUGAGCAAUUGAAUGUAUUGUGUGAAGUUAUUUCUUCUAAUAAUUUGCAAAAUGAUCCUAGCAUGAAUGGCGAGAAUGUUGUAUGUGAAAAUGGAUUGCAUUUGGAUGAAAAUGAUGAAUCUCAAUUAUAUUUCAAUGAGCAAAUAUCCAUUUCACAUGAUAAUACCUUUGAAACUAACUUUGAGCCUCAAGAGGUGAGUUUUAAUGACUCAUUUUUCACCCCUCUUGAGGAGUGCAGUGAAAGUAUAGGUUCUAAAGGUAUUCCUGCCCAAGAUACUCUCAUGACAUUUCCUUUGGUAAGUUCUCAAGUGGUACAUAUUCAAGAUAAUAUCUAUGAAACACUUGGGAUAGGUAAGUCACUUUCAUUUGUCACAUCAUUAGAUCAUGUGGCUUUGGCUAUAAAGUCACCAUUUAAUGAUCCACCACGGCCUAAAAUGGUGGAUUAUUCUUUAACCAAGCCUCCUUGAAAAAUGAGGUUCAAUAGUCGAGCCAACGACUAUAAAUAAAAGCGCUUAUUGGGAAGCAACCCAAUGUUUGUUUAAGUUUAUGUUAUUUUGGAGUGAUUUUAUGUUUGAAGUAUGUGUUUAAGUUAUUUUGUUAUUUUUCAUUUGUAGGUAUUGGAAAUUGAAGCAAAAGUGACCAAAUGAGGUGAAAAAGGCGAAAUUUGAUCAAGGAACUCAACCCCUCGAUUUGAGUAAUUGUUGUUUUUGAUCCGUUAAAAGGGGCUAAAAUGCAUGUUUUUAAUGUUUUACAUGUGUGCACAUUGAUAAAUUUUACAAACAAAUGAUUUAUGAUGCAUUUUGAGUGAUUGGGGUAUUAUUUGUAAAUUUUCAAAAGUUGAAUUUCUGCUAAAAUUCGCAGCAGAAAACGCAUUUCUCAAGAAAACGCGCCUCUGAGUCGCGUGUUCACAGAAUCGCGUUUUCGAUUCUGCACCUGCAGAACAGAAAACGCGCCUUCAAAACGCGACUUUAAGUCGCGUUUUGAUGGAAGUCGCGUUUUGUUGCCUGGAUCAAAGAUGAAAACGCGCCAUUGAAAACGCGACUUUAAGUCGCGUUUUCUCACAGAACCGCGUUUUCAGUACUGCAACUUUUGGGAAGAAACGCGCCUUCAAAAACGCGAGUUAAAGGCGCGUUUCUACUCACGUUUUCUGAGCAUUUUUUUUAAAAAAAUGCAGCUUCCUUGAUUCUCUUUUUCUUCUUUUCCUCAUAUAUUUUCUUGUCCCUUGAGUUGCUUAUUGUGUAUUUUUUAAAAAACAUACAAAAAAAAAGAAAAACAAAAAAAAAAAAAAACAAAACAAAAAAAAAAAUAAUAAACAAAAAAUUAAAAUAAUACGGUACAUCACCAAAACAAGGGCUUGAAGUUACGGAUAGCCGUUUUGAUGUCUUAAGCUUUUGUUAUCACUUUGGUUUCUCAUUUUCCAUUCUUAGGUUUAUAUCACUAAUGGUUAUCCAAUGGAACUCAUGAAGUGAUGAAGACCGGCGAACAACAUACCUUGAAGCUUCAUAUUCAAUCACAACAAUAGGGGAGUAUUAUUUUUCUUUAUCUUCAUUUUCCUUUUUACACAUUGAGGACAAUGUGCAUGUUAAGUGUGGGGGGAGAAUUGAGAUUAUGUACAUUGUAUGUGAUUGACUUAUUAGUUGCAAAUAUUGGACUUGUGUUAAAAUUCAAAUUUUUCUACAAUCUUGUCCAAAAUUGCAAACUUGCCCCAAAUAUUUUAAAAUUUAAAUUUCAUCUCCAAAGGUAACAAUCCAUACCAUUUAGUAGUUCAAUUUCCUCUACAUUUGAGAUAAAUAUAUGUUUUUUAGUCAAUGCUCCAAAAUUUGGAAAUUACUAUUAUGUGAUUAUAAUUUUUGCAUUUGUAGGAAAGUAUAUCUUUUAAAGUGGAGAAAAUUAUGCAUAUAUUUUUUUGCAUAUUUGAUGAAAUUUCUUCUCUUUAUUGGAUUUUAUAAGUUAAGUGAUAAAUAUGGUCAAUAAUUGCAAUACUCUUCUCAUGAUUAUGCUUUCGAGGGAAUGUUAUUAUCUUUACUUAAAAAUAAAUAAAUAAAUAAAUAAAUAAAAAAGAAGAAAAAAAAAGAUCUAUUCUACUCCAAUGAUUCUUGUACUUAGUAACCGGGAGUUUUCAUCUACAAAUGUCGACUUUCGCGUAAAACAAAAAGCCAAUGUGAAGUGUAGGAUCUUCAUCUAAAAUGUCGAUUCUCGCGUCAUCAAAAAACAAUGAAAAAAUCUGUUAAGUAGAAUAAAACGAUGAUCAUGAGUUAGAAAGCAUUUUAAUGGAUUAUGAGAUGAAGAGAGGUAAGGAAUGGAAAAAUUGAUUGAAUUUGCUGAUAAUGACGUACUAUAAUUGGCUCUCCUUUACUUGAUAUUAUGAGUACUUGAACUUAAUUGAAUAAUUGCAUAAUGGUUAUUUACUUUGUUUUGAGGAAAUGAAGUUGAAAUGCUACAUAUGUUUAUUUUCAAAUUUUGAUCAUUGUUGGUUUGUAUUUCUUAUUGCUUGAGGACAAGCAAUGGUUCAAGUGUGGGGGUAUUUGAUAAGAAUAUAUUUUACGUAUUUUUUAGUGUGUUUUAUUAGUUAAUUUUGGUUUGAUUAUUUAGUUUUAUAACUAAAAUAACUAAGGUUUUGGUAAAAAAACUACAAUUUAUGUUAAAGUGGCUAAACAUAUGCCCAUUUUUAUUGAUUAUUUAUUGGUAAAAACUUCAUAUUUUUGUACGUUUAUGAUUCAAUCAUCAAGAUGAAGUGCAUUGGAGAAGAUAUUUGGAUGAGUUGGGAAGAUGGAUUAAAGUGGUGAAAAUAAAAUAUGAAGUGUAAAAGGAAAAAUGCAAUUUGAAUCAAGAAAAGUCAGGUUUGUUUGACAACUCUGACACGUUUUGGUAUUUUGACUAUAUCUGGAGCUACACUGAUCGGAUUGAGGUGAUCUUUACACCAAUUUAAAGCUAAGAAAGAGAUCUACAUUUGGUAUGAAGACAUCAAAGUCCAAUUCAGCCGUUUUCAUAGUCCAAAAGUUGAAAUACCGAAAUUCAACUCAGCUGUCCAAAGUGAAAAACAGAGUUCUGACCAGUCUUUAGUAUUUUGGUCAUAUCUCAGGCUACAAAGCUCCGAUCUAGAUGAUUUUUAUAGCAUUGGAAAGCUAACUCAAAGGGAUACAACUUUGGUGUUUUGCACAAAAGCCAGUUCAGCCUUUAUGAUAGAGAAAAUCGCAGUUGAAGUAAGGACAAAGUGAAUACGCGAGUACACAAAACGUGACUUGUAACCGCGUUUUGUGUAGGCGCGUUUUUUGGCCGCAAUUCUGCAAUUUGCUCAGUCAAUUCUCUUAUGUUCAAACUACUUUCCAGCUACAAUCUGCAAGAGAAUUCGGUGCACAUGCUUCAGAAGACAAAAGGGCAGACAAGGUGGCUUAUUUUCAAGUAAAAAACAUUUGUUAUUGACUAUCCUAACAAAGUUGAGAUUUGGGAAUCAAAAGGAGGAAUUUGACUUGAAAAAAUGGAGCUCUUGAGCAGUUUAUAUGCAGAGACAUUUGGGAGGUCAGAGAAUGAUACGGGAGAAGCUUGAAGAUUGCAGAAAUGUAGUUCUUCCAUUUCCUUAGUGUAGGUUAGUUUAGCUAGUUAGUUCAUCCAUUCUUGUAUAUUGCUAGAUUAGGAUGAAGAUGGAGAUGAAGAAGGAGGAGUUGAAACUCAUGUGACAAGGGUUAUCUCUUCUCCAAUUCUUUAUCUUUUGUACUUGAUUCCAAAUUUAGUUAAUAUGCAAUUUCUGGAAUUUAUGUUAUUUAUGUGUCUCUAAAGUUUAUGCCUUGGGUUUGGUUGAACUUUCUAUAAUUGGUAGUGUUUAUUAUUUGGUUAUUUGAUUGCUAUGAUUUGAGCAAAUUAUUUAGCACUUUGACUCUUUAAAUCACGAUUAAUCUAGUACCAUUAAUUGUGAUUAUCUAAGGUGUUAUUUCUGCAAUGAAAAUUGAGAUUUAACAUUAGUUCAAGAAGUGCUAAACAUAGGGAGUACACUCACGAAAGUAGAGGUGCACCUAUGUGGUUUUUAGUGAUAUAUUUCAUGUAAUUUCAAUGAAGAAAGAACUUGUAGCUAAUUUCAUAACCAUGAGAAUAGGUAUGGAUUAGUUAUAAGUAUAAUUGAUUCACUACGAAAGUAGGAUUCAAAUGCAUAAGGAAAUUACACCAUAAUUAGCCUAGAUGUAGUAUUCAAUGAUCCAAAUAUAACACUUGCAUGAGUAGUUAGGGAUACCACAACCCAAGGAGCUUUUAUUUCUUAAUUUCUUGUAUAAGUGCAGUAGGUUAAAUUUCUUAUCAUUAAUUGAUAGUCUAAAUAAUAGGGAAGCUUUAGUAAUACCGGUAAUUGUUCACUCUUUCCUGUGGGAUCGACCCGAUAUAUACCCUAAACUACUAGUUGACCUGUAUACUUGCAGUGAACGGGUGUAAUUCGGUUUUUUAACUUCUACGUAUGUAAAAUACCCGUCAAGUUUUUGGCGCCAUUGCCGGGGAAGAUUUGGCAAUAUCGGUGUGAAGAGCAACUUUAUUAAUUUAGACAAUUUUUCUUAUUUUUGUUGUUUUUGUUGUAUCUUAUGUGUUUUAUGUCAUUUUUUUUUUAGUCAACUUUUAUUUUAUUUUUUUUCUGUUUUAGUUUGUGUAUUGGAAUCUAUCCUUCUUAACUAAUCUUACUUUUGAGAUUGUUUAAAAGUAAUUUUAGAUAAUGAGGAGGGUAGGUGAAUUGGGAGGACAAAGCUUGAGAAAUGAAGGAUUGGCAAUGGAUGGUUGCCUAGUGCAAAGCUCCUUCAACAGAGGUAACCAAGAAAUUACUGAGGGUAUGUCUUUUGAAGAUGGUUUAAGGUGCUUAAAGGCAAAAUUUGAUGUUAUGAUGUUACAAAUUCAAAUGGACACAAUUAUGCAUGAAAUUGAGCAAGGGAGGAAUGUUAAUGCUUUUAAUUCUUAUCAUGUGAUUUGUGACUUGUGUGGAGAUUAUCAUGCUACUAAUACAUGUAGGCAAGCACAAAAUGUGGAUUAUUAUGAUGAAUUGGAGCAUUACAAUCCCUGUUUUGAUCGAUAUAGUGCUAAUUGGAGCAAUUCUCCUGCUUAUGGUUGGGAUAAUCAAUGUACAUACAGUGAUUAUUCAUAUUUUUAUGGUUACCAACCUGAAAGUGUCUAAUUUGAAUCAAAACCAUCUUGGGAGUUGGCAAUAGAGAAGUUAGCUAAUGCACCUCUACCUUGGGAGUUAGAAAAUGAACCAUUAGCUAAUAAUUCUAAUGCAUCUUGGGAGCUAGCUUUAGAAAAUUUUUCUAAUCAAUUUGAUUCAGCAAUAGAAAAGCUAGCAAAUGCAACCUCUGACCGUUUUGAUAGGAUUGAGGAAAGGUUAGAUGAAUUAGCUUCUCACUUUGGUGAUAUACAUGAGCAAUUGAAUGUAUUGUGUGAAGUUAUUUCUUCUAAUAAUUUGCAAAAUGAUCCUAGCAUGAAUGGCGAGAAUGUUGUAUGUGAAAAUGGAUUGCAUUUGGAUGAAAAUGAUGAAUCUCAAUUAUAUUUCAAUGAGCAAAUAUCCAUUUCACAUGAUAAUACCUUUGAAACUAACUUUGAGCCUCAAGAGGUGAGUUUUAAUGACUCAUUUUUCACCCCUCUUGAGGAGUGCAGUGAAAGUAUAGGUUCUAAAGGUAUUCCUGCCCAAGAUACUCUUAUGACAUUUCCUUUGGUAAGUUCUCAAGUGGUGCAUAUUCAAGGUAAUAUUUAUGAAACACUUGGAAUAUGUAAGUCACUUUCAUUUCUCACAUCAUUAGAUUAUGUGGCUUUCGCGAUAAAGCCACCUUUUAAUGAUCCACCACGGCCUAAAAUGGUGGAUUAUUCGUUAACUAAGCCUCCUUGAAAAAUAAGGUGAAAUAGUCAAGCUAUUGACUUUAAAGAAGCGCUUAUUGGGAGGCAACCCAAUGUUUGUUUAAGUUUAUGUUAUUUUGGGGUGAUUUUAUGUUUAAAGUAUGUGUUUGAGUUAUUUUGUUAUUUUUCAUUUGUAGGUAUUGGAAAUGGAAGCAAAAGUGACCAAAUGAGGUGAAAAAGGCGAAAUUUGAUCAAGGAACUCAACCCCUCGAUUUGAGUAAUUGUUGUUUUUGAUCCGUUAAAAGGGGCUAAAAUGCAUGUUUUUAAUGUUUUACAUGUGUGCACAUUGAUAAAUUUUACAAACAAAUGAUUUAUGAUGCAUUUUGAGUGAUUGGGGUAUUAUUUAUAAAUUUUCAAAAGUUGAAUUUCUGCUAAAAUUCGCAGCAGAAAACAAGAAAACGCGCCUCUGAGUCGCGUGUUCAUAGAAUCGCGUUUUCAAUUCCGCACCUGCAGAACAGAAAACACGCCAUUAAAACGCGACUUAACUUUAAGUCGCGUUUUGAAGGACGUCGCGUUUUGUUGCCUGGAUCAAAGAUGAAAACGCGCCAGUGAAAACGCGACUUGAAUUCGCGUUUUCUCACAGAACCGCGUUUUCAGUACUGCAACUUUUGGGAAGAAACGCGCCUUCAAAACCGCGAGUUAAAGGCGCGUUUCUACUCACGUUUUCUGAGCAUUUUUUUUUUGAAAGAAAAAAUGCAGUUUCCUUGAUUCUCUUUUUCUUCUUUUCCUCAUAUAUUUUCUUGUAUCUUGAGUUGCUUAUUGUGUAUUUUUUAUAGGUACAUCACCAAAACAAGGGCUUGAAGUUACGGAUAGCCGUUUUGAUGUCUUAAGCCUUUGUUAUCACUUUGGUUUCUCAUUUUCCAUUCUUAGGUUUAUAUCACUAAUGGUUAUCCAAUGGAACUCAUGAAGUGAUGAAGACCGGCGAACAACAUACCUUGAAACUUCAUAUUCAAUCACAACAAUAGGGGAGUAUUAUUUUUCUUUAUCUUCAUUUUCCUUUUUACACAUUGAGGACAAUGUGCAUGUUAAGUGUGGGGGGAGAAUUGAGAUUAUAUAUAUUGUAUGUGAUUGACUUAUUAGUUGCAAAUAUUGGACUUGUGUUAAAAUUCAAAAUUUUUCUAACAUCUUGUCCAAAAUUGCAAAUUUGCCCCAAAAAUUUUAAAUUUUAAAUUUCAUCCAAAGGGGUAACAAAGUUCCAUACCAUUAGUAGUUCAAAUUCCUUCUACAUUUGAGAUAAAUAUAUGUGGUUUAGGCACUUCUUUUCUCAUUUAACUUGGAAAUGACUAUUAUGUGAUUAUAAUUUUUGCAUUUGUAGGAAAGUAUAUCUUUUAAAGUGGAGAAAAUUAUGCCUAUAUUUUUUUUUUUGCAUAUUUGAUGAAAUUUCUUCUCUUUAUUGGAUUUUAUAAGUUAAGUGAUAAAUAUGGUCAAUAAUUGCAAUACUCUUCUCAUGAUUAUGCUUUCGAGGGAAUGUUAUUAUCUUUACUUAAAAAUAAAUAAAUAAAUAAAUAAAUAAAAAAGAAAAAAAAAGAUCUAUUCUACUCCAAUGAUUCUUGUACUUAGUAACCGUGAGUUUUCAUCUACAAAUGUCGACUUUCGCGUAAAACGGUACUUGAAUUAAGAGUAUGCAAAGCAACUUGAGUAUGUGAAGUGUUGAGUAACCGGUGAUCUUCAUCUAAAAAUGUCGAUUCUCGCGUCAAAAGACACUUUCACAACUUAAGUAAUAUUUAGCUACGUUAUAUGAAUAAAUAUCUGUUUAAGUAGAAUAAAAAGAUGAUCAUGAGUUUAGAAAGCAUUUUAUUGACCAUAUGAGUUACUUACUUGUAAGAUUGGGUAAGGAUGAAAAAAUUGAUUUGAAUUUGCUAUAAUGACGGUAUAAUUGGCUCUCCUUUACUUGAUAUUAUGAGUACUUGAACUUAAUUGAAUAAUUGCAUAAUGGUUAUUUACUUUGUUUUGAGGAAAUGAAGUUGAAAUGCUACAUAUGUUUAUUUUCAAAUUUUGAUCAUUGUUGGUUUGUAUUUCUUAUUGCUUGAGAACAAGCAAUGGUUCAAGUGUGGGGGUAUUUGAUAAGAAUAUAUUUUACGUAUUUUUUAGUGUGUUUUAUUAGUUAAUUUUGGUUUGAUUAUUUAGUUUUAUAACUAAAAUAACUAAGGUUUUGGUAAAAAACUACAUUUUAUGUUAAAGUGGCUAAACAUUGCAUUUUAUGGAUUUUUAUGGUAAAAACUUCAUAUUUUGUAGGUUUAAUGAUUCAAUCAUCAAAUGAAGUGCAUUGAGAAGAUAUUUGGAUGAUUGAAGAUGGAUUAAAGUGGUGAAAAUAAAAUAUGAAGUGUAAAAAGGAAAAAUGCAAUUUGAAUCAAGAAAAGUCAGGUUUUGACAACUCUGACACGUUUUGGUAUUUUGACUAUAUAUGGAGCUACACUGAUCGGAUAAAGGUGAUCUUGGUACCAUUUUGAAGCUAAGAGAUAUAUCUACAUUUGGUAUGAAGACAUCAAAGUCCAAUUCAGCCGUUUUCAUAGUCCAAAAGUUGAAAUACCGAAAUUCAACUCAGCUGUCCAAAGUGGAAAACAGAGUUCUGACCAGUCUUUAGUAUUUUGGUCAUAUCUCAGGCUAAAAAGCUCCGAUCUGGAUGAUUUUUAAAGCAUUGGAAAGCUAACUCAAAGGGCUACAACUUUGAUGUUUUUCACAAAAGCCAGUUCAGCCUUUAUGAUAGAGAAAAUUGCAGUUGAAGUAAGGACAAAGUGAAUACGCGAGUACACAAAACGUGACUUGUAACCGCGUUUUGUGUAGGCGCGUUUUCUGGCCGCAAUUCUGCAAUUUGCUCAGUUCAAUUCUCUUAUGUCUCAAUACUACUUUCAGCUACAUAUCUGUCAAGAGAAUUCGGUGGCAUCAUGCUUCAAGAAGACAAAAGCAGACAGGUGGCUUAUUUUCAAAGUCAAAACACAUUUGUUAUUGGACUAUUCUAACAAAGUGAUAUUUGGGAAUCAAAAGAUGUAAUUUGACUUGUAAAAAAUGGAGCUUUUGAGGCAGUUUACUAUGCAGAGACAUUUGGGAGUCAGAGAAUGAAUACGGGAGAAGCUUUGAAGAGUGCAAAAUGUAGUUCUUUGCCAUUCCUUUAGUGUAGGUUUAGUUUAGCUAAUUAUUAUGCCAUUCUUGUAUAUUGCGAGAUCAGGAUGAAGGAUCGAGAUGAAGAAGGAGAAGUGAAACUCAUCGUGACAACGGUUAUCUCUUCUCCAAAUUCUUUAUCUUUUGUACUUGAUUCAAAUAUUAUAAUAUCAAUUCUGGAUAUUUAUGUAUUAUGUGUCUCUAAAGUUAUGGGCCUUGGUUUGUUGAACUUUCUAUAAUUGGUAGUGUUAUUAUUUGGGUUAUUUGAUUGUAUGAUUAGAAAUUAUUUAGCACUUUGGCUGCUUUAAAUCAGAUUAAUCUAGUAAACGCAUUAAUUGUUGAUUAUCUAAGGUGUAUUGUCUGUAAUGAAGAAUUGAGAUUAACCAUUAUUCAAGAAAGUGCUAAAACAUAGGGAGUUACCAGCUCACGAAAGUAGAGGUGGCACCUAUGAUGGAUUCUUUAUGUGAGUAUAUUUCCAUUAAUUUCAAUGAAGAAGAACUGUAGCUAAUUUCAUAACCAUGAGCAAUAAGGUAUUGGAUUAGUUUAUGAAGUAUAAUUGAUUCACAUACAGAAAUAAGGAUUAAAAUGCAUAAGGAAAUUACACCAUAAUUAGCCUAGAUGUAGUAUUCAAUGAUCCAAAUAUAACACUUGCAUGAGUAGUUAGGGAUACCACAACCCAAGGAGCUUUUAUUUCUUAAUUUCUUGUAUAAGUGCAGUAGGUUAAAUUUCUUAUCAUUAAUUGAUAGUCUAAAUAAUAGGGAAGCUUUAGUAAUACCGGUAAUUGUUCACUCUUUCCUUUGGGAUCGACCCGAUAUAUACCCUAAACUACUAGUUGACCUGUAUACUUGCAGUGAACGGGUGUAAUUCGGUUUUUUAACUUGUACGUAUGUAAAAUACCCGUCAAGUUUUUGGCGCCAUUGCCGGGGAGGAUUUGGCAAUAUCGGUGUGAAGAGCAACUUUAUUAAUUUAGACAAUUUUUCUUAUUUUUGUUGUUUUUGUUGUAUCUUAUGUGUUUUAUGUCAUUUUUUUUUUAGUCAACUUUUAUUUUAUUUUUUUUUCUGUUUUAGUUUGUGUCUUGGAAUCUAUCCUUCUUAACUAAUCUUACUUUUGAGAUUGUUUAAGUAAUUUAGAUUAAUGUAGAGGGUAGGUGAAAUUGGGACAAAGCUUGAGAAAUGAAGGAUGGCAAUGGAUGGUUCCUAGUGCAAAGCUCCUCAAAGAGGUACACCAAGAAAUAUAGGUCAUGUCUUGAAAGAUAAGUUUAAGGUGGCUUAACAGCAAAAAAUUUAUGUUAUGAAGUUUACAAAUUCAAAUGGACAGCAAUUAUGCAUGAAAUUGAGCAAGGAAGAAGUUAAUGUUUUUUAUUAAUUCUUAUCAUGUGAUUGUGACUGGUGUGGAGAUUAUCAUGCACUAAUAGCAUGUACAAAGCACGAAAUGUGGAUAUUAUGAUGAAAGGACAUUACAUAUCCUGUUUUGAUUCGAUAUAGUGAAAAUUGGAGCAAUCUCCUGCUUAUGGUUGGGAUUAAUCAAUUACAUUUACAGUGAAUUAUCAUAUUUUAUGGUUACCAACCGAAAGUGGUCUAAUUUGAAUUCAAAACGAUCUUGGGAGUUGGCAUAGAGAAGUCAGGAAGCUAAUCACCUUGCUACCUUGGGAGUUAGAAAAAAUGAACGCAUUACUAAUAAUUCUAUAUGCAUCUUGGGAGUCUAGCUUUAAGAAAUUUUCUAUCAAUUUGAUUCAGCAAUAGAAAAGCUAGCAAAAAAUGCAGACCUCUGACCGUUUUUGGAUAGGAUUGAGUGAAUAGUUAGAUGAAUUAAGCUUCUCACUUGGUUAUAUAUCAGAGCAAUUGAAUGUAUUGUCGUGAAGUUAUUUCUUCUAAUAAAUUUGCAAAGGAUCUAGCAUGAAAUGCAGAAUGUUGUAUGUGAAAAAUGGAUUGGCAUUGGAUGAAAAGAUGAAUCUCAAUUAUAUUUUGCAAUGAGCAAUAUAUCCAUUUCACAUGAUAAUACUUUGAAACACUUUGACCCUCAAAGAGGUUGAGUUUUAAUGACUCAUUUUCACACCUCUUGAGAUGCAGUGAAGUAUCAUAGGUUCUAUAGGUAUUCUGCCCAAGAUACUCUUAUGAGCAUUUCCUUUGGUAAGUUCUCAAGAUGUGGCAUAUCCAAGGUAAUAUUUAUGAAAACACUGGACAUAUGUAAGUCACUUUCAUUUUCUCACAUCCAUUAGAUUAAAUGUGGCUUUCGGCGAUAGAAGCCAUCCUUUUGAGAGUGAUGCCACCACGGCCCAUAAAAUGGUGGAUUAUUUCGUUACCUUAAGCUCCUUAAAAAAUAAGUGAAAUAGUCAAUGCUAUUGACUUUAAGAAGCGCUUAUUGGGAGGCAACCCAAUGUUUUGGCUAUUUAUGUUAUUUUGGUGUGAUUUUAUAUUUAAAGCAUGUGUUUGAGUUAUUUUGUUAUUUUUCAUUUGUAGGUAUUGGAAAUGGAAGCAAAAGUGACCAAAUGAGAUGAAAAAGGCGAAAUUUGAUCAAGGAACUCAACCCCUCGAUUUGAGUAAUUGUUGUUUUUGAUCCGUUAAAAGGGGCUAAAAUGCAUGUUUUUAAUGUUUUACAUGUGUGCACAUUGAUAAAUUUUACAAACAAAUGAUUUAUGAUGCAUUUUGAGUGAUUGGGGUAUUAUUUAUAAAUUUUCAAAAGUUGAAUUUCUGCUAAAAUUCGCAGUAGAAAACGCGUUUCUCAAGAAAACGCGCCUCUGAGUCGCGUGUUCAUAGAAUCGCGUUUUCAAUUCCGCACCUGCAGAACAGAAAACACGCCAUUAAAACGCGACUUAACUUUAAGUCGCGUUUUGAAGGACGUCGCGUUUUGUUGCCUGGAUCAAAGAUGAAAACGCGCCAGUGAAAACGCGACUUGAAUUCGCGUUUUCUCACAGAACCGCGUUUUCAGUACUGCAACUUUUGGGAAGAAACGCGCCUUCAAAACCGCGAGUUAAAGGCGUGUUUCUACUCACGUUUUCUGAGCAUUUUUUUUUUGAAAGAAAAAAUGCAGUUUCCUUGAUUCUCUUUUUCUUCUUUUCCUCAUAUAUUUUCUUGUAUCUUGAGUUGCUUAUUGUGUAUUUUUUAUAGGUACAUCACCAAAACAAGGGCUUGAAGUUACGGAUAGCCGUUUUGAUGUCUUAAGCCUUUGUUAUCACUUUGGUUUCUCAUUUUCCAUUCUUAGGUUUAUAUCACUAAUGGUUAUCCAAUGGAACUCAUGAAGUGAUGAAGACCGGCGAACAACAUACCUUGAAACUUCAUAUUCAAUCACAACAAUAGGGGAGUAUUAUUUUUCUUUAUCUUCAUUUUCCUUUUUACACAUUGAGGACAAUGUGCAUGUUAAAUGUGGGGGGAGAAUUGAGAUUAUAUAUAUUGUAUGUGAUUGACUUAUUAGUUGCAAAUAUUGGACUUGUGUUAAAAUUCAAAAUUUUUCUAACAUCUUGUCCAAAAUUGCAAAUUUGCCCCAAAAAUUUUAAAUUUUAAAUUUCAUCCAAAGGGGUAACAAAGUUCCAUACCAUUAGUAGUUCAAAUUCCUUCUACAUUUGAGAUAAAUAUAUGUGGUUUAGGCACUUCUUUUCUCAUUUAACUUGGAAAUGACUAUUAUGUGAUUAUAAUUUUUGCAUUUGUAGGAAAGUAUAUCUUUUAAAGUGGAGAAAAUUAUGCCUAUAUUUUUUUUUUUUUGCAUAUUUGAUGAAAUUUCUUCUCUUUAUUGGAUUUUAUAAGUUAAGUGAUAAAUAUGGUCAAUAAUUGCAAUACUCUUCUCAUGAUUAUGCUUUCGAGGGAAUGUUAUUAUCUUUACUUAAAAAUAAAUAAAUAAAUAAAUAAAUAAAAAAGAAGAAAAAAAAAGAUCUAUUCUACUCCAAUGAUUCUUGUACUUAGUAACCGGGAGUUUUCAUCUACAAAUGUCGACUUUCGCGUAAAACGGUACUUGAAUUAAGAGUAUGCAAAGCAAUUUGAGUAUGCGAAGUGUUGAGUAACCGGUGAUCUUCAUCUAAAAAUGUCGAUUCUCGCGUCAAAAGACACUUUCACAACUUAAGUAAUAUUUAGCUACGUUAUAUGAAUAAAUAUCUGUUUAAGUAGAAUAAAAAGAUGAUCAUGAGUUUAGAAAGCAUUUUAUUGACCAUAUGAGUUACUUACUUGUAAGAUUGGGUAAGGAUGAAAAAAUUGAUUUGAAUUUGCUAUAAUGACGGUAUAAUUGGCUCUCCUUUACUUGAUAUUAUGAGUACUUGAACUUAAUUGAAUAAUUGCAUAAUGGUUAUUUACUUUGUUUUGAGGAAAUGAAGUUGAAAUGCUACAUAUGUUUAUUUUCAAAUUUUGAUCAUUGUUGGUUUGUAUUUCUUAUUGCUUGAGGACAAGAAAUGGUUCAAGUGUGGGGGUAUUUGAUAAGAAUAUAUUUUACGUAUUUUUUAGUGUGUUUUAUUAGUUAAUUUUGGUUUGAUUACUUAGUUUUAUAACUAAAAUAACUAAGGUUUUGGUAAAAAACUACAUUUUAUGUUAAAGUGGCUAAACAUUGCAUUUUAUGGAUUUUUAUGGUAAAAACUUCAUAUUUUGUAGGUUUAAUGAUUCAAUCAUCAAAUGAAGUGCAUUGAAAAGAUAUUUGGAUGAUUGAAGAUGGAUUAAAGUGGUGAAAAUAAAAUAUGAAGUGUAAAAGGAAAAAUGCAAUUUGAAUCAAGAAAAGUCAGGUUUGUUUGACAACUCUGACACGUUUUGGUAUUUUGACUAUAUCUGGAGCUACACUGAUCGGAUUGAGGUGAUCUUUACACCAAUUUAAAGCUAAGAAAGAGAUCUACAUUUGGUAUGAAGACAUCAAAGUCCAAUUCAGCCGUUUUCAUAGUCCAAAAGUUGAAAUACCGAAAUUCAACUCAGCUGUCCAAAGUGAAAAACAGAGUUCUGACCAGUCUUUAGUAUUUUGGUCAUAUCUCAGGCUAAAAAGCUCCGAUCUAGAUGAUUUUUAUAGCAUUGGAAAGCUAACUCAAAGGGCUACAACUUUGGUGUUUUGCACAAAAGCCAGUUCAGCCUUUAUGAUAGAGAAAAUCGCAGUUGAAGUAAGGACAAAGUGAAUACGCGAGUACACAAAACGUGACUUGUAACCGCGUUUUGUGUAGGCGCGUUUUCUGGCCACAAUUCUGCAAUUUGCUCAGUCAAUUCUCUUAUGUUCAAACUACUUUCCAGCUACAAUCUGCAAGAGAAUUCGGUGCACAUGCUUCAGAAGACAAAAGGGCAGACAAGGUGGCUUAUUUUCAAGUCAAAAACAUUUGUUAUUGACUAUCCUAACAAAGUUGAGAUUUGGGAAUCAAAAGGAGGAAUUUGACUUGAAAAAAUGGAGCUCUUGAGCAGUUUAUAUGCAGAGACAUUUGGGAGGUCAGAGAAUGAUACGGGAGAAGCUUGAAGAGUGCAGAAAUGUAGUUCUUCCAUUUCCUUAGUGUAGGUUAGUUUAGCUAGUUAGUUCAUCCAUUCUUGUAUAUUGCUAGAUUAGGAUGAAGAUGGAGAUGAAGAAGGAGGAGUUGAAACUCAUGUGACAAGGGUUAUCUCUUCUCCAAUUCUUUAUCUUUUGUACUUGAUUCCAAAUUUAGUUAAUAUGCAAUUUCUGGAAUUUAUGUUAUUUAUGUGUCUCUAAAGUUUAUGCCUUGGGUUUGGUUGAACUUUCUAUAAUUGGUAGUGUUUAUUAUUUGGUUAUUUGAUUGCUAUGAUUUGAGCAAAUUAUUUAGCACUUUGGCUCUUUAAAUCAUGAUUAAUCUAGUACCAUUAAUUGUGAUUAUCUAAGGUGUUAUUUCUGCAAUGAAAAUUGAGAUUUAACAUUAGUUCAAGAAGUGCUAAACAUAGGGAGUACACUCACGAAAGUAGAGGUGCACCUAUGUGGUUUUUAGUGAUAUAUUUCAUGUAAUUUCAAUGAAGAAAGAACUUGUAGCUAAUUUCAUAACCAUGAGAAUAGGUAUGGAUUAGUUAUAAGUAUAAUUGAUUCACUACGAAAGUAGGAUUCAAAUGCAUAAGGAAAUUACACCAUAAUUAGCCUAGAUGUAGUAUUCAAUGAUCCAAAUAUAACACUUGCAUGAGUAGUUAGGGAUACCACAACCCAAGGAGCUUUUAUUUCUUAAUUUCUUGUAUAAGUGCAGUAGGUUAAAUUUCUUAUCAUUAAUUGAUAGUCUAAAUAAUAGGGAAGCUUUAGUAAUACCGGUAAUUGUUCACUCUUUCCUUUGGGAUCGACCCGAUAUAUACCCUAAACUACUAGUUGACCUGUAUACUUGCAGUGAACGGGUGUAAUUCGGUUUUUUAACUUGUACGUAUGUAAAAUACCCGUCAAGUUUUUGGCGCCAUUGCCGGGGAGGAUUUGGCAAUAUCGGUGUGAAGAGCAACUUUAUUAAUUUAGACAAUUUUUCUUAUUUUUGUUGUUUUUGUUGUAUCUUAUGUGUUUUAUGUCAUUUUUUUUUUAGUCAACUUUUAUUUUAUUUUUUUUCUGUUUUAGUUUGUGUCUUGGAAUCUAUCCUUCUUAACUAAUCUUACUUUUGAGAUUGUUUAAAAGUAAUUUUAGAUAAUGAGGAGGGUAGGUGAAUUGGGAGGACAAAGCUUGAGAAAUGAAGGAUUGGCAAUGGAUGGUUGCCUAGUGCAAAGCUCCUUCAACAGAGGUAACCAAGAAAUUACUGAGGGUAUGUCUUUUGAAGAUGGUUUAAGGUGCUUAAAGGCAAAAUUUGAUGUUAUGAUGUUACAAAUUCAAAUGGACACAAUUAUGCAUGAAAUUGAGCAAGGGAGGAAUGUUAAUGCUUUUAAUUCUUAUCAUGUGAUUUGUGACUUGUGUGGAGAUUAUCAUGCUACUAAUACAUGUAGGCAAGCACAAAAUGUGGAUUAUUAUGAUGAAUUGGAGCAUUACAAUCCCUGUUUUGAUCGAUAUAGUGCUAAUUGGAGCAAUUCUCCUGCUUAUGGUUGGGAUAAUCAAUGUACAUACAGUGAUUAUUCAUAUUUUUAUGGUUACCAACCUGAAAGUGUCUAAUUUGAAUCAAAACCAUCUUGGGAGUUGGCAAUAGAGAAGUUAGCUAAUGCACCUCUACCUUGGGAGUUAGAAAAUGAACCAUUAGCUAAUAAUUCUAAUGCAUCUUGGGAGCUAGCUUUAGAAAAUUUUUCUAAUCAAUUUGAUUCAGCAAUAGAAAAGCUAGCAAAUGCAACCUCUGACCGUUUUGAUAGGAUUGAGGAAAGGUUAGAUGAAUUAGCUUCUCACUUUGGUGAUAUACAUGAGCAAUUGAAUGUAUUGUGUGAAGUUAUUUCUUCUAAUAAUUUGCAAAAUGAUCCUAGCAUGAAUGGCGAGAAUGUUGUAUGUGAAAAUGGAUUGCAUUUGGAUGAAAAUGAUGAAUCUCAAUUAUAUUUCAAUGAGCAAAUAUCCAUUUCACAUGAUAAUACCUUUGAAACUAACUUUGAGCCUCAAGAGGUGAGUUUUAAUGACUCAUUUUUCACCCCUCUUGAGGAGUGCAGUGAAAGUAUAGGUUCUAAAGGUAUUCCUGCCCAAGAUACUCUUAUGACAUUUCCUUUGGUAAGUUCUCAAGUGGUGCAUAUUCAAGGUAAUAUUUAUGAAACACUUGGAAUAUGUAAGUCACUUUCAUUUCUCACAUCAUUAGAUUAUGUGGCUUUCGCGAUAAAGCCACCUUUUAAUGAUCCACCACGGCCUAAAAUGGUGGAUUAUUCGUUAACUAAGCCUCCUUGAAAAAUAAGGUGAAAUAGUCAAGCUAUUGACUUUAAAGAAGCGCUUAUUGGGAGGCAACCCAAUGUUUGUUUAAGUUUAUGUUAUUUUGGGGUGAUUUUAUGUUUAAAGUAUGUGUUUGAGUUAUUUUGUUAUUUUUCAUUUGUAGGUAUUGGAAAUGGAAGCAAAAGUGACCAAAUGAGGUGAAAAAGGCGAAAUUUGAUCAAGGAACUCAACCCCUCGAUUUGAGUAAUUGUUGUUUUUGAUCCGUUAAAAGGGGCUAAAAUGCAUGUUUUUAAUGUUUUACAUGUGUGCACAUUGAUAAAUUUUACAAACAAAUGAUUUAUGAUGCAUUUUGAGUGAUUGGGGUAUUAUUUAUAAAUUUUCAAAAGUUGAAUUUCUGCUAAAAUUCGCAGCAGAAAACGCGUUUCUCAAGAAAACGCGCCUCUGAGUCGCGUGUUCAUAGAAUCGCGUUUUCAAUUCCGCACCUGCAGAACAGAAAACACGCCAUUAAAACGCGACUUAACUUUAAGUCGCGUUUUGAAGGACGUCGCGUUUUGUUGCCUGGAUCAAAGAUGAAAACGCGCCAGUGAAAACGCGACUUGAAUUCGCGUUUUCUCACAGAACCGCGUUUUCAGUACUGCAACUUUUGGGAAGAAACGCGCCUUCAAAACCGCGAGUUAAAGGCGCGUUUCUACUCACGUUUUCUGAGCAUUUUUUUUUUUGAAAGAAAAAAUGCAGUUUCCUUGAUUCUCUUUUUCUUCUUUUCCUCAUAUAUUUUCUUGUAUCUUGAGUUGCUUAUUGUGUAUUUUUUAUAGGUACAUCACCAAAACAAGGGCUUCAAGUUACGGAUAGCCGUUUUGAUGUCUUAAGCCUUUGUUAUCACUUUGGUUUCUCAUUUUCCAUUCUUAGGUUUAUAUCACUAAUGGUUAUCCAAUGGAACUCAUGAAGUGAUGAAGACCGGCGAACAACAUUACCUUUGAAACUUCAAUUCAAUCACAACAAUAUGGGUGGAUAUUAUUUUCUUAUCUCAUUUUCUUCCUUUUUAGCACAUUGAGACUAAUGUGCAUGUUAAGUGUUGGGGGGAGAAGGCAGAUAUAUAUAUUUAUGUGAUUGACUUAUUAGGUUAUUAUAAUUUUGUUAUUCUUGUUGUAUAAAUCAUAUAUAUAUUUUUUCUUAACUUAUUUCUUGUCCUAAUUAAUGCUAAUAUUUUGUUUUUCUUCUUUGUUUCUUUCAAAAAUUUUUUUAUAAUUUAGAAUUUCAUCCAAAGGUAACGAAGUUCCAUACAUUAGUAUGUGUCAAAUUCCUUCUACAUUUGAGAUAAGAUAUUAUUGUUUAGGGCAGGCUCUUUUCUCAAUAUUAACCUUGAAAUGACUAAUUAAGUGAUUAUAUUUUUUUGCGAUUGUAGGAAAGUAUAUCCCUUAAAGUGGGAAAAAUUUAUGCCUAAAUAUAUUUUUUUUUUUUUUUUAUGCAUAUUGAUGAAAUUCUUCUCUUUAUGAUUUUAUAAGUAAGGAUAAAUAGGUCAAGAAUUGCAAUAACUCUUCUCAUGAUUAUGGCUUUACGAGGGAAGUUUAUUAUCUUUACUUAAAAUAAAUAAAUAAUAUAAAUAAUAUAAAAAGAAAAAAAAAGAUCUAUUCUAACCAAUGAUUCUUGACUUAGUAACCAGUGAGUUUUUUCAUCUACAAAUGUCGACUUUUUCGCUGUAAAACAGGACGUAAUUAAGAAGUAGCAAAGCAACUUGAGUAUGUAAAUUUGAGUAACUCGGUGAUCUUCAUCUAAAAAGUCGGAUUCUCGCGCUCAAAAGACAAACUUUCACAACUUAAGUAAUAUUUAGCGCUACGACGUUAUAUGAAUAAAUACUGUUUAAAUAGAAUUAAAAAGAGACAUGAGUUUAGAAAGCAAUUUUAUUGACGCAUAUAUGAUUACUUACUUGUAAGAUUUAGGAUGAAAAAAUUGAUUUGAAUUUGCUAUAUAUGACGGUAUUCAUUUAUUGGCUCUCCUUUACUUGAUAUUGAUAGUACUUGAACUAAUUGAAUUAAUCUGCAUAAUGGUUAUUGUACUUUGUUUGAGAAAAUAACUUGAAAUGCGCCUACAUAAUUUUAUUUUUCAAAUUGUUGAUCAUUGGUUGUCUUAUUUCUUAUUGCUUAGGACAAGCAAUCGGUUUUCAAAUGUGGGUAUUUGGAUAAGAAUAUAUUUUAACGUAAUUUAUUAGUGUGUUUUAUUAGUUAAUUUUGUUUGAUUACUUUUAUGGAUUUUUAUGGUAAAAACUUCAUAUUUUGUAGGUUUAAUGAUUCAAUCAUCAAAUGAAGUGCAUUGAGAAGAUAUUUGGAUGAUUGAAGAUGGAUUAAAGUGGUGAAAAUAAAAUAUGAAGUGUAAAAGGAAAAAUGCAAUUUGAAUCAAGAAAAGUCAGGUUUGUUUGACAACUCUGACACGUUUUGGUAUUUUGACUAUAUCUGGAGCUACACUGAUCGUAUUGAGGUGAUCUUUACACCAAUAUAAAGCUAAGAAAGAGAUCUACAUUUGGUAUGAAGACAUCAAAGUCCAAUUCAGCCGUUUUCAUAGUCCAAAAGUUGAAAUACCGAAAUUCAACUCAGCUGUCCAAAGUGAAAAACAGAGUUCUGACCAGUCUUUAGUAUUUUGGUCAUAUCUCAGGCUACAAAGCUCCGAUCUAGAUGAUUUUUAUAGCAUUGGAAAGCUAACUCAAAGGGCUACAACUUUGGUGUUUUGCACAAAAGCCAGUUCAGCCUUUAUGAUAGAGAAAAUCGCAGUUGAAGUAAGGACAAAGUGAAUACGCGAGUACACAAAACGUGACUUGUAACCGCGUUUUGUGUAGGCGCGUUUUCUGGCCGCAAUUCUGCAAUUUGCUCAGUCAAUUCUCUUAUGUUCAAACUACUUUCCAGUUACAAUCUGCAAGAGAAUUCGGUGCACAUGCUUCAGAAGACAAAAGGGCAGACAAGGUGGCUUAUUUUCAAGUCAAAAACAUUUGUUAUUGACUAUCCUAACAAAGUUGAGAUUUGGGAAUCAAAAGGAGGAAUUUGACUUGAAAAAAUGGAGCUCUUGAGCAGUUUAUAUGCAGAGACAUUUGGGAGGUCAGAGAAUGAUACGGGAGAAGCUUGAAGAGUGCAGAAAUGUAGUUCUUCCAUUUCCUUAGUGUAGGUUAGUUUAGCUAGUUAGUUCAUCCAUUCUUGUAUAUUGCUAGAUUAGGAUGAAGAUGGAGAUGAAGAAGGAGGAGUUGAAACUCAUGUGACAAGGGUUAUCUCUUCUCCAAUUCUUUAUCUUUUGUACUUGAUUCCAAAUUUAGUUAAUAUGCAAUUUCUGGAAUUUAUGUUAUUUAUGUGUCUCUAAAGUUUAUGCCUUGGGUUUGGUUGAACUUUCUAUAAUUGGUAGUGUUUAUUAUUUGGUUAUUUGAUUGCUAUGAUUUGAGCAAAUUAUUUAGCACUUUGGCUCUUUAAAUCAUGAUUAAUCUAGUACCAUUAAUUGUGAUUAUCUAAGGUGUUAUUUCUACAAUGAAAAUUGAGAUUUAACAUUAGUUCAAGAAGUGCUAAACAUAGGGAGUACACUCACGAAAGUAGAGGUGCACCUAUGUGGUUUUUAGUGAUAUAUUUCAUGUAAUUUCAAUGAAGAAAGAACUUGUAGCUAAUUUCAUAACCAUGAGAAUAGGUAUGGAUUAGUUAUAAGUAUAAUUGAUUCACUACGAAAGUAGGAUUCAAAUGCAUAAGGAAAUUACACCAUAAUUAGCCUAGAUGUAGUAUUCAAUGAUCCAAAUAUAACACUUGCAUGAGUAGUUAGGGAUACCACAACCCAUGGAGCUUUUAUUUCUUAAUUUCUUGUAUAAGUGCAGUAGGUUAAAUUUCUUAUCAUUAAUUGAUAGUCUAAAUAAUAGGGAAGCUUUAGUAAUACCGGUAAUUGUUCACUCUUUCCUUUGGGAUCGACCCGAUAUAUACCCUAAACUACUAGUUGACCUGUAUACUUGCAGUGAACGGGUGUAAUUCGGUUUUUUAACUUGUACGUAUGUAAAAUACCCGUCAAGUUUUUGGCGCCAUUGCCGGGGAGGAUUUGGCAAUAUCGGUGUGAAGAGCAACUUUAUUAAUUUAGACAAUUUUUCUUAUUUUUGUUGUUUUUGUUGUAUCUUAUGUGUUUUAUGUCAUUUUUUUUUAGUCAACUUUUAUUUUAUUUUUUUUCUGUUUUAGUUUGUGUCUUGGAAUCUAUCCUUCUUAACUAAUCUUACUUUUGAGAUUGUUUAAAAGUAAUUUUAGAUAAUGAGGAGGGUAGGUGAAUUGGGAGGACAAAGCUUGAGAAAUGAAGGAUUGGCAAUGGAUGGUUGCCUAGUGCAAAGCUCCUUCAACAGAGGUAACCAAGAAAUUACUGAGGGUAUGUCUUUUGAAGAUAGUUUAAGGUGCUUAAAGGCAAAAUUUGAUGUUAUGAUGUUACAAAUUCAAAUGGACACAAUUAUGCAUGAAAUUGAGCAAGGGAGGAAUGUUAAUGCUUUUAAUUCUUAUCAUGUGAUUUGUGACUUGUGUGGAGAUUAUCAUGCUACUAAUACAUGUAGGCAAGCACAAAAUGUGGAUUAUUAUGAUGAAUUGGAGCAUUACAAUCCCUGUUUUGAUCGAUAUAGUGCUAAUUGGAGCAAUUCUCCUGCUUAUGGUUGGGAUAAUCAAUGUACAUACAGUGAUUAUUCAUAUUUUUAUGGUUACCAACCUGAAAGUGUCUAAUUUGAAUCAAAACCAUCUUGGGAGUUGGCAAUAGAGAAGUCAGCUAAUGCACCUCUACCUUGGGAGUUAGAAAAUGAACCAUUAGCUAAUAAUUCUAAUGCAUCUUGGGAGCUAGCUUUAGAAAAUUUUUCUAAUCAAUUUGAUUCAGCAAUAGAAAAGCUAGCAAAUGCAACCUCUGACCGUUUUGAUAGGAUUGAGGAAAGGUUAGAUGAAUUAGCUUCUCACUUUGGUUAUAUACAUGAGCAAUUGAAUGUAUUGUGUGAAGUUAUUUCUUCUAAUAAUUUGCAAAAUGAUCCUAGCAUGAAUGGCGAGAAUGUUGUAUGUGAAAAUGGAUUGCAUUUGGAUGAAAAUGAUGAAUCUCAAUUAUAUUUCAAUGAGCAAAUAUCCAUUUCACAUGAUAAUACCUUUGAAACUAACUUUGAGCCUCAAGAGGUGAGUUUUAAUGACUCAUUUUUCACCCCUCUUGAGGAGUGCAGUGAAAGUAUAGGUUCUAAAGGUAUUCCUGCCCAAGAUACUCUUAUGACAUUUCCUUUGGUAAGUUCUCAAGUGGUGCAUAUUCAAGGUAAUAUUUAUGAAACACUUGGAAUAUGUAAGUCACUUUCAUUUCUCACAUCAUUAGAUUAUGUGGCUUUCGCGAUAAAGCCACCUUUUAAUGAUCCACCACGGCCUAAAAUGGUGGAUUAUUCGUUAACUAAGCCUCCUUGAAAAAUAAGGUGAAAUAGUCAAGCUAUUGACUUUAAAGAAGCGCUUAUUGGGAGGCAACCCAAUGUUUGUUUAAGUUUAUGUUAUUUUGGGGUGAUUUUAUGUUUAAAGUAUGUGUUUGAGUUAUUUUGUUAUUUUUCAUUUGUAGGUAUUGGAAAUAGAAGCAAAAGUGACCAAAUGAGGUGAAAAAGGCGAAAUUUGAUCAAGGAACUCAACCCCUCGAUUUGAGUAAUUGUUGUUUUUGAUCCGUUAAAAGGGGCUAAAAUGCAUGUUUUUAAUGUUUUACAUGUGUGCACAUUGAUAAAUUUUACAAACAAAUGAUUUAUGAUGCAUUUUGAGUGAUUGGGGUAUUAUUUAUAAAUUUUCAAAAGUUGAAUUUCUGCUAAAAUUCGCAGCAGAAAACGCGUUUCUCAAGAAAACGCGCCUCUGAGUCGCGUGUUCAUAGAAUCGCGUUUUCAAUUCCGCACCUGCAGAACAGAAAACACGCCAUUAAAACGCGACUUAACUUUAAGUCGCGUUUUGAAGGACGUCGCGUUUUGUUGCCUGGAUCAAAGAUGAAAACGCGCCAGUGAAAACGCGACUUGAAUUCGCGUUUUCUCACAGAACCGCGUUUUCAAUACUGCAACUUUUGGGAAGAAACGCGCCUUCAAAACCGCGAGUUAAAGGCGCGUUUCUACUCACGUUUUCUGAGCAUUUUUUUUUUGAAAGAAAAAAUGCAGUUUCCUUGAUUCUCUUUUUCUUCUUUUCCUCAUAUAUUUUCUUGUAUCUUGAGUUGCUUAUUGUGUAUUUUUUAUAGGUACAUCACCAAAACAAGGGCUUGAAGUUACGGAUAGCCGUUUUUAUAUCUUAAGCCUUUGUUAUCACUUUGGUUUCUCAUUUUCCAUUCUUAGGUUUAUAUCACUAAUGGUUAUCCAAUGGAACUCAUGAAGUGAUGAAGACCGGCGAACAACAUACCUUGAAGCUUCAUAUUCAAUCACAACAAUAGGGGAGUAUUAUUUUUCUUUAUCUUCAUUUUCCUUUUUACACAUUGAGGACAAUGUGCAUGUUAAGUGUGGGGGGAGAAUUGAGAUUAUAUAUUGUAUGUGAUUGACUUAUUAGUUGCAAAUAUUGGACUUGUGUUAAAAUUCAAAAUUUUUCUAACAUCUUGUCCAAAAUUUCAAAUUUGCCCCAAAAAUUUUAAAUUUUAAAUUUCAUCCAAAGGGGUAACAAAGUUCCAUACCAUUAGUAGUUCAAAUUCCUUCUACAUUUGAGAUAAAUAUAUGUGGUUUAAGCACUUCUUUUCUCAUUUAAUUUGGAAAUGACUAUUAUGUGAUUAUAAUUUUUGCAUUUGUAGGAAAGUAUGAUCUUUUAAAGUGUGAGAAGAAUAUGCCCUAUAAAUAUUUUUUUUUUUGGCCAAUAAUUUGAUGAAAAUUUCUUCUCUUUUAGUUGUGGAUUUAUAUAGAGUUAAGUGAUAAAAUAUGGUCAAGUAAUUCAAUAUCCCCGUUCUUCAUGAAUUAUGCGUUUCCCGAGGGAAUGUUAUUUAUCUUUAGCUUAAAAAUAAAUAAAUAAAUAAAAUAAAUUAAAAAAGAAGAAAAUAAAAAGAUUCUAUUCACUCCACAUGAUUCUUGUACUUAAGUACCGGCGGGUGGAGUUUCAUCUACAAAUGUCGAAUUCGGCGUAAAACGGGUACUUGAAUUAAGAGUAUUCAAAAGAACUUGAGUAAUGUGAAGUGUUGGAGUAACUCGGUGAUCUUCAUCUGAAAAAUGUCGAUCGCGCUCAAAAGACCUUUCACAACUUAAGUAAUAUUUAGCUACUUAUAUGAAUAUAAUCUUCUGUUUACAGUAGAUAUACAAAAGACUGAUCAUUGAGAGUUUAAGAAAAAAGGCAUUUUAUUGGACGACAUAGAUUACUUAUUGUAAGUAUGGAGUAAGGAUGAAAAAAUGAUUGAAUUUGCUAAUAAUAACGGUAUAUGAUUGGUCUCUCCUUUACUUGAUAUAGAGUACUUGAACUUAAUUGAAUAAUUGCAUCCAAUGGUUUUCUGUUACUUUGUUUGAGGAAAGGAGUUUGAAAUGCUACAUAUUUUAUUUUCCAAUUUUGAUCAUUGUUGGUUGUAUUUCUUAUUGCUUUGAGACAAGCAAAUUGUUUCAAGUGUGGGGUGUAAUUUGAUACGAAUAUUUUACGAUUUUUUAGUGUGUAUUGUAUUAGUCUGAAUUUUGUUUGAUUUAUUUGUAGUUUUAUAAACUAAAGAUAAGCUAAGCGUUUUGGUAAAAAACUACAUUUAUUGUUAAAGUGGCUAAACAUUGCAUUUUUAUGGAUUUUAGUGGUAAAACUAUCUAUAAACUUUGUACACGUUUAAAUGAUUCCAUCAUCAAUGAAGUGCAUUGAGUAAGAUUUUGGAUGAUUGAAGAUGGAUUAAAGUGGUGAAAAUAAAUAUUGAGUGUAAAAAGGAAAAAUGCAAAAUUGGAAUCAAGAAAAGUCAGGUUUGUUUGACAACUCUGACACGUUUUGGUAUUUUGACUAUAUCUGGAGCUACACUGAUCGGAUUGAGGUGAUCUUUACACCAAUUUAAAGCUAAGAAAGAGAUCUACAUUUGGUAUGAAGACAUCAAAGUCCAAUUCAGCCGUUUUCAUAGUCCAAAAGUUGAAAUACCGAAAUUCAACUCAGCUGUCCAAAGUGAAAAACAGAGUUCUGACCAGUCUUUAGUAUUUUGGUCAUAUCUCAGGCUAAAAAGCUCCGAUCUAGAUGAUUUUUAUAGCAUUGGAAAGCUAACUCAAAGGGCUACAACUUUGGUGUUUUGCACAAAAGCCAGUUCAGCCUUUAUGAUAGAGAAAAUCGCAGUUGAAGUAAGGACAAAGUGAAUACGCGAGUACACAAAACGUGACUUGUAACCGCGUUUUGUGUAGGCGCGUUUUCUGGCCACAAUUCUGCAAUUUGCUCAGUCAAUUCUCUUAUGUUCAAACUACUUUCCAGCUACAAUCUGCAAGAGAAUUCGGUGCACAUGCUUCAGAAGACAAAAGGGCAGACAAGGUGGCUUAUUUUCAAGUCAAAAACAUUUGUUAUUGACUAUCCUAACAAAGUUGAGAUUUGGGAAUCAAAAGGAGGAAUUUGACUUGAAAAAAUGGAGCUCUUGAGCAGUUUAUAUGCAGAGACAUUUGGGAGGUCAGAGAAUGAUACGGGAGAAGCUUGAAGAGUGCAGAAAUGUAGUUCUUCCAUUUCCUUAGUGUAGGUUAGUUUAGCUAGUUAGUUCAUCCAUUCUUGUAUAUUGCUAGAUUAGGAUGAAGAUGGAGAUGAAGAAGGAGGAGUUGAAACUCAUGUGACAAGGGUUAUCUCUUCUCCAAUUCUUUAUCUUUUGUACUUGAUUCCAAAUUUAGUUAAUAUGCAAUUUCUGGAAUUUAUGUUAUUUAUGUGUCUCUAAAGUUUAUGCCUUGGGUUUGGUUGAACUUUCUAUAAUUGGUAGUGUUUAUUAUUUGGUUAUUUGAUUGCUAUGAUUUGAGCUAAUUAUUUAGUACUACGUUGCUCUUUAAAACAUGAUUAAUCUAGUAAGCCAUUAUAUGUGAAUAUCUAGGUGUUAUUUCUGCAAUUGAAAAUUGAGAUUUAACAUUAGUUGCACAGAGUGCGAAACAUACGGGAGUAACACUCACGAAAGUAAACGGUGUCACACCUAUUGUUGGGAUUUUUAGAAGAGAUAUUUUCAAUGUAAUUUCAAAUGAAGAAAGACUUGUACUAAUAUUCAUAACCAUGAGAAUAGGUAUGGUUAGUGUUAAGUAUAUCUAUUGAUUCAACUACGAAAUAGGAUUCACAAUGCAUAAGGAAAUUACACCAUAAUUAAGCCAGAGUAGUAUUCAAUGAUCCUAAAAAUAUAACACUUGCAUGAGUAGUUAGGGAUACCAACCCAGAGAGCUUUUAUUUUCUUAUUUCUUGGUAUAAAGUGGCAGUAGGUUAAAUUCUUAUCAUUAAUGAUAGUCCUAAAACUUAAUAGGGUAAGCACUUUAGUAAUACCGUACUAUGUUCACGAGUUCUUUCCUUGGGAAUCGACCGAUAAUAUACCCUAAAACUACUAGUUGACCCUGUGAUACUCUGCAUGAAACGGUGUUAAUUCGGAUUUUUAACUUGUACGUAGUAAAAUAGCGCGUCAAGUUUUUGGCGCAAUUGCGCGGGAGAUUGGCAAUCGGUGUGAAGAGCAACUUUAUUGAAAUUUAGACAAUGUUUCUUAAAUAAAAAUUUUGUGUAUCUUAUGGUGUUUAUGUAUCUUUUUUUUUAGUCAACUUUUAUUUUAUUUUUUUUCUGUUUUAGUUUGUGUCUUGGAAUCUAUCCUUCUUAACUAAUCUUACUUUUGAGAUUGUUUAAAAGUAAUUUUAGAUAAUGAGGAGGGUAGGUGAAUUGGGAGGACAAAGCUUGAGAAAUGAAAGAUUGGCAAUGGAUGGUUGCCUAGUGCAAAGCUCCUUCAACAGAGGUAACCAAGAAAUUACUGAGGGUAUGUCUUUUGAAGAUGGUUUAAGGUGCUUAAAGGCAAAAUUUGAUGUUAUUCUAUGUACAAAUUUCAAAUGACACAAUUACUGCAUGAAAAUUGAGGCAAGGGGAGGAAGUUAAUGGGCUUUUAAUUCUUAUCAUGUGAUUUGUGACUUGGUGUGGAGAUUAUCUAUGCUACUACAUACAUGUAGGUCAAGCACAAAAAUGUGGUGAUUUAUUAUAAUGAAUUGGACAUUACAAUGCCUGGUGAUCGACUAUAGGUAAUUGGAGCAAUUCUCGUCCCCUGCGUUAGUGGUUGGAUAAGAAUCAUGUACAUACAAGUGAUUAUUCAUAUUUAUGUUACAACCUGAAAGGUCUAAUUUGAAUCAAUAAACCAUCAUGGAGUUGGCAAUUGAGAAAGUUACUAAUGCACCUCUACCAUUGGAGUUAGAAAAAUGAACCAUUAGCUAAUAUUCUAAUGCAUCUGGGAGCUAGCUUUAAAAAUUUCUAAUAAAUUUGAUUCAGACACAAUAGAAAAGCUACGAAAUGCGAACCUCGACCCGUUUUGAUAGGAUUGAGGAAAGGUUAGAUGAAUUUAGCUUCUUUCUUCACUUGUGGUGAAUAUACAUCAGGCAAUUGAAUGUUAUGUGGAAGUUAUUUCUUCUAAAAUUUGCAAAUGAUCGCUAGCAUGAAUGGCGAAGAAGUUGUAUUGAAAAGGAUUGCAUUUGGCUGAAAAUGAUGAAAAUCAAUUAUAUUCAAUGAGCAAAUCUUAUCCAUUUCACAUGAUAAACCUUUGAAACGUAACUUGAGCCUCAGAGGUGAGUUUUAAUGACUUUCUUCACCUAGAUCCCCGAGAGAUGCAGGAAGUAUAGGGUUCUAAGUAUUUCCUGCCCAAAGAUACUCUUAUGAACAUUCCUUGGUAAGUUCUCAAGUGGUGCAUAUUCAAGGUAAUAUUUAUGAAACACUUGGAAUAUGUAAGUCACUUUCAUUUCUCACAUCAUUAGAUUAUGUGGCUUUCGCGAUAAAGCCACCUUUUAAUGAUCCACCACGGCCUAAAAUGGUGGAUUAUUCGUUAACUAAGCCUCCUUGAAAAAUAAGGUGAAAUAGUCAAGAUAUUGACUUUAAAGAAGCGCUUAUUGGGAGGCAACUCAAUGUUUGUUUAAGUUUAUGUUAUUUUGGGGUGAUUUUAUGUUUAAAGUAUGUGUUUGAGUUAUUUUGUUAUUUUUCAUUUGUAGGUAUUGGAAAUGGAAGCAAAAGUGACCAAAUGAGGUGAAAAAGGCGAAAUUUGAUCAAGGAACUCAACCCCUCGAUUUGAGUAAUUGUUGUUUUUGAUCCGUUAGAAAGGGGUAAAUGCAUUUUUGUUGAAGUUUAAUGUUUUUUACAUUGUGGCACAUUGGAUAAAUUUAUACAAACAAAUGGAUUUCAUGAUGCAUUUUAGCUGAUUGGGUUAUUAUUUAUAAAUUUUCAAAAGUUGAAUUUCUGCUAAAAUUCGCAGCAGAAAACGCUUUUCUCAAGAAAACGCGCCUCUGAGUCGCGUGUUCAUAGAAUCGCGUUUUCAAUUCCGCACCUGCAGAACAGAAAACACGCCAUUAAAACGCGACUUAACUUUAAGUCGCGUUUUGAAGGACGUCGCGUUUUGUUGCCUGGAUCAAAGAUGAAAACGCGCCAGUGAAAACGCGACUUGAAUUCGCGUUUUCUCACAGAACCGCGUUUUCAGUACUGCAACUUUUGGGAAGAAACGCGCCUUCAAAACCGCGAGUUAAAGGCGCGUUUCUACUCACGUUUUCUGAGCAUUUUUUUUUUGAAAGAAAAAAUGCAGUUUCCUUGAUUCUCUUUUUCUUCUUUUCCUCAUAUAUUUUCUUGUAUCUUGAGUUGCUUAUUGUGUAUUUUUUAUAGGUACAUCACCAAAACAAGGGCUUGAAGUUACGGAUAGCCGUUUUGAUGUCUUAAGCCUUUGUUAUCACUUUGGUUUCUCAUUUUCCAUUCUUAGGUUUAUAUCACUAAUGGUUAUCCAAUGGAACUCAUGAAGUGAUGAAGACCGGCGAACAACAUACCUUGAAACUUCAUAUUCAAUCACAACAAUAGGGGAGUAUUAUUUUUCUUUAUCUUCAUUUUCCUUUUUACACAUUGAGGACAAUGUGCAUGUUAAGUGUGGGGGGAGAAUUGAGAUUAUAUAUUGUAUGUGAUUGACUUAUUAGUUGCAAAUAUUGGACUUGUGUUAAAAUUCAAAAUUUUUCUAACAUGUUGUCCAAAAUUGCAAAUUUGCCCCAAAAAUUUUAAAUUUUAAAUUUCAUCCAAAGGGGUAACAAAGUUCCAUACCAUUAGUAGUUCAAAUUCCUUCUACAUUUGAGAUAAAUAUAUGUGGUUUAAGCACUUCUUUUCUCAUUUAAUUUGGAAAUGACUAUUAUGUGAUUAUAAUUUUUGCAUUUGUAGGAAAGUAUAUCUUUUAAAGUGGAGAAAAUUAUGCAUAUAUUUUUUUGCAUAUUUUAUGAAAUUUCUUCUCUUUAUUGGAUUUUAUAAGUUAUAGGUGAUAAAUAUGGUCCAAUAAUCUUGCAAUACUCUUCUCAAUGAUAUGCCUUCGAGGGAAUGUAUUUCUUUACUAAAAAUAACACUAAUAAAAUAAAUAAAUAAAAAAGGAAAAAAAAAGAUCUAUUCUACUCCAAUGAUUCUUGUACUUAGUAACCGGGAGUCUUCAUCUACAAAUGUCGACUUUCGCGUAAAACGGUACUUGAAUUAAGAGUAUGCAAAGCAACUUGAGUAUGUGAAGUGUUGAGUAACCGGUGAUCUUCAUCUAAAAAUGUCGAUUCUCGCGUCAAAAGACACUUUCACAACUUAAGUAAUAUUUAGCUACGUUAUAUGAAUAAAUAUCUGUUUAAGUAGAAUAAGAAAUGAUCAUGAGUUUAGGAAGCAUAUUAUUGACCAUAUGAGUUACUUGCGUAUGAAAUUAAGUAAGAAUGAGAAAUUGAAUUAAACUUGUUAUAAUUACGGUAUAAUUGGCUCUCCUUUACUUGAUAUUAUGAGUACUUGAACUUAUUGAAUAAUUGCAUAAUGGUUAUUUACUUUGUUUUCAGGAAAUGAAGUUGAAAUGCUACAUAUGUUUAUUUUCAAAUUUUGGAUCAUUGUUGGUUUGUAUUUUUAUUGCUUGAGGACAAGCAAUGGUUCAAGUGUGGGGGUAUUUGAUAAGAGUUUAUUUUACGUAUUUUUUGUGUGUUUUAUUAGUUAAUUUUGGUUUGAUUAUUUAGUUUAAUAACUAAAAUAACUAAGGUUUUGGUAAAAAAACUACAUUUUAUGUUAAAGUGGCUUACACAUUGGCAUUUUAUGGAUUUUAUGGUAAAAACUUCAUAUUUUGUAGUUUAAUGAUCAUCAUCAAAUGAAGUGCAUUGAGAAGAAUAUUUGGAUGAUUGAAGAUGGAUUUAAAAGUGGUGAAAAUAAAAUGAUGAAGUGUAAAAGGAAAAAUGCAAUUUGAAUCAAAGAAAGUCAGGUUAUGUUUGAACAAGCUGCUGAACGUUUUGGUAUUUUGACUAUAUCUGGCAGCUACACUGAUGCGGGAUUUGAAGGUGUUUACACCAAUUUUAAAGCAAGAAAGAGAUCUAUCAUUUGUAUGAAGACAUCAAAGUCCAUUCAGCCGUUUUUCAUAGUCGGAGAACAGUUGAAAAUACCGAAAUUCAACUGCAGGCUGUCCCAAAGUGAAAAACAGCAGUUCUGACACGUCUUAUGUAUUUUGGCAUAUCUCAGGCUACAAAGACCCGAUCUAGAUGAUUUUUAAGCAUUGGAAAAUCUAACUCAAAGGGUAUUACAAUUUGUGUUUUGCACAAAAGCCAGUUCCAGCCUUUAUGAUAGAGAAAAUCGGCAGUUGAAGUAAGGACAAAGUGAAUACGCAGUACCAAAACGUGACUUGUAACGCGUUGUGUAGGCGCGUUUUCUGGCCGCAAUUCUGCAAUUUGCUCAGUCAAUUCUCUUAUGUUCAAACUACUUUCCAGCUACAAUCUGCAAGAGAAUUCGGUGCACAUGCUUCAGAAGACAAAAGGGCAGACAAGGUGGCUUAUUUUCAAGUCAAAAACAUUUGUUAUUGACUAUCCUAACAAAGUUGAGAUUUGGGAAUCAAAAGGAGGAAUUUGACUUGAAAAAAUGGAGCUCUUGAGCAGUUUAUAUGCAGAGACAUUUGGGAGGUCAGAGAAUGAUACGGGAGAAGCUUGAAGAGUGCAGAAAUGUAGUUCUUCCAUUUCCUUAGUGUAGGUUAGUUUAGCUAGUUAGUUCAUCCAUUCUUGUAUAUUGCUAGAUUAGGAUGAAGAUGGAGAUGAAGAAGGAGGAGUUGAAACUCAUGUGACAAGGGUUAUCUCUUCUCCAAUUCUUUAUCUUUUGUACUUGAUUCCAAAUUUAGUUAAUAUGCAAUUUCUGGAAUUUAUGUUAUUUAUGUGUCUCUAAAGUUUAUGCCUUGGGUUUGGUUGAACUUUCUAUAAUUGGUAGUGUUUAUUAUUUGGUUAUUUGAUUGCUAUGAUUUGAGCAAAUUAUUUAGCACUUUGGCUCUUUAAAUCAUGAUUAAUCUAGUACCAUUAAUUGUGAUUAUCUAAGGUGUUAUUUCUGCAAUGAAAAUUGAGAUUUAACAUUAGUUCAAGAAGUGCUAAACAUAGGGAGUACACUCACGAAAGUAGAGGUGCACCUAUGUGGUUUUUAGUGAUAUAUUUCAUGUAAUUUCAAUGAAGAAAGAACUUGUAGCUAAUUUCAUAACCAUGAGAAUAGGUAUGGAUUAGUUAUAAGUAUAAUUGAUUCACUACGAAAGUAGGAUUCAAAUGCAUAAGGAAAUUACACCAUAAUUAGCCUAGAUGUAGUAUUCAAUGAUCCAAAUAUAACACUUGCAUGAGUAGUUAGGGAUACCACAACCCAAGGAGCUUUUAUUUCUUAAUUUCUUGUAUAAGUGCAGUAGGUUAAAUUUCUUAUCAUUAAUUGAUAGUCUAAAUAAUAGGGAAGCUUUAGUAAUACCGGUAAUUGUUCACUCUUUCCUUUGGGAUCGACCCGAUAUAUACCCUAAACUACUAGUUGACCUGUAUACUUGCAGUGAACGGGUGUAAUUCGGUUUUUUAACUUGUACGUAUGUAAAAUACCCGUCAAGUUUUUGGCGCCAUUGCCGGGGAGGAUUUGGCAAUAUCGGUGUGAAGAGCAACUUUAUUAAUUUAGACAAUUUUUCUUAUUUUUGUUGUUUUUGUUGUAUCUUAUGUGUUUUAUGUCAUUUUUUUUUAGUCAACUUUUAUUUUAUUUUUUUUCUGUUUUAGUUUGUGUCUUGGAAUCUAUCCUUCUUAACUAAUCUUACUUUUGAGAUUGUUUAAAAGUAAUUUUAGAUAAUGAGGAGGGUAGGUGAAUUGGGAGGACAAAGCUUGAGAAAUGAAGGAUUGGCAAUGGAUGGUUGCCUAGUGCAAAGCUCCUUCAACAGAGGUAACCAAGAAAUUACUGAGGGUAUGUCUUUUGAAGAUGGUUUAAGGUGCUUAAAGGCAAAAUUUGAUGUUAUGAUGUUACAAAUUCAAAUGGACACAAUUAUGCAUGAAAUUGAGCAAGGGAGGAAUGUUAAUGCUUUUAAUUCUUAUCAUGUGAUUUGUGACUUGUGUGGAGAUUAUCAUGCUACUAAUACAUGUAGGCAAGCACAAAAUGUGGAUUAUUAUGAUGAAUUGGAGCAUUACAAUCCCUGUUUUGAUCGAUAUAGUGCUAAUUGGAGCAAUUCUCCUGCUUAUGGUUGGGAUAAUCAAUGUACAUACAAUGAUUAUUCAUAUUUUUAUGGUUACCAACCUGAAAGUGUCUAAUUUGAAUCAAAACCAUCUUGGGAGUUGGCAAUAGAGAAGUUAGCUAAUGCACCUCUACCUUGGGAGUUAGAAAAUGAACCAUUAGCUAAUAAUUCUAAUGCAUCUUGGGAGCUAGCUUUAGAAAAUUUUUCUAAUCAAUUUGAUUCAGCAAUAGAAAAGCUAGCAAAUGCAACCUCUGACCGUUUUGAUAGGAUUGAGGAAAGGUUAGAUGAAUUAGCUUCUCACUUUGGUGAUAUACAUGAGCAAUUGAAUGUAUUGUGUGAAGUUAUUUCUUCUAAUAAUUUGCAAAAUGAUCCUAGCAUGAAUGGCGAGAAUGUUGUAUGUGAAAAUGGAUUGCAUUUGGAUGAAAAUGAUGAAUCUCAAUUAUAUUUCAAUGAGCAAAUAUCCAUUUCACAUGAUAAUACCUUUGAAACUAACUUUGAGCCUCAAGAGGUGAGUUUUAAUGACUCAUUUUUCACCCCUCUUGAGGAGUGCAGUGAAAGUAUAGGUUCUAAAGGUAUUCCUGCCCAAGAUACUCUUAUGACAUUUCCUUUGGUAAGUUCUCAAGUGGUGCAUAUUCAAGGUAAUAUUUAUGAAACACUUGGAAUAUGUAAGUCACUUUCAUUUCUCACAUCAUUAGAUUAUGUGGCUUUCGCGAUAAAGCCACCUUUUAAUGAUCCACCACGGCCUAAAAUGGUGGAUUAUUCGUUAACUAAGCCUCCUUGAAAAAUAAGGUGAAAUAGUCAAGCUAUUGACUUUAAAGAAGCGCUUAUUGGGAGGCAACCCAAUGUUUGUUUAAGUUUAUGUUAUUUUGGGGUGAUUUUAUGUUUAAAGUAUGUGUUUGAGUUAUUUUGUUAUUUUUCAUUUGUAGGUAUUGGAAAUGGAAGCAAAAGUGACCAAAUGAGGUGAAAAAGGCGAAAUUUGAUCAAGGAACUCAACCCCUCGAUUUGAGUAAUUGUUGUUUUUGAUCCGUUAAAAGGGGCUAAAAUGCAUGUUUUUAAUGUUUUACAUGUGUGCACAUUGAUAAAUUUUACAAACAAAUGAUUUAUGAUGCAUUUUGAGUGAUUGGGGUAUUAUUUAUAAAUUUUCAAAAGUUGAAUUUCUGCUAAAAUUCGCAGCAGAAAACGCGUUUCUCAAGAAAACGCGCCUCUGAGUCGCGUGUUCAUAGAAUCGCGUUUUCAAUUCCGCACCUGCAGAACAGAAAACACGCCAUUAAAACGCGACUUAACUUUAAGUCGCGUUUUGAAGGACGUCGCGUUUUGUUGCCUGGAUCAAAGAUGAAAACGCGCCAGUGAAAACGCGACUUGAAUUCGCGUUUUCUCACAGAACCGCGUUUUCAGUACUGCAACUUUUGGGAAGAAACGCGGCUUCAAAACCGCGAGUUAAAGGCGCGUUUCUACUCACGUUUUCUGAGCAUUUUUUUUUUGAAAGAAAAAAUGCAGUUUCCUUGAUUCUCUUUUUCUUCUUUUCCUCAUAUAUUUUCUUGUAUCUUGAGUUGCUUAUUGUGUAUUUUUUAUAGGUACAUCACCAAAACAAGGGCUUGAAGUUACGGAUAGCCGUUUUUAUAUCUUAAGCCUUUGUUAUCACUUUGGUUUCUCAUUUUCCAUUCUUAGGUUUAUAUCACUAAUGGUUAUCCAAUGGAACUCAUGAAGUGAUGAAGACCGGCGAACAACAUACCUUGAAGCUUCAUAUUCAAUCACAACAAUAGGGGAGUAUUAUUUUUCUUUAUCUUCAUUUUCCUUUUUACACAUUGAGGACAAUGUGCAUGUUAAGUGUGGGGGGAGAAUUGAGAUUAUAUAUAUUGUAUGUGAUUGACUUAUUAGUUGCAAAUAUUGGACUUGUGUUAAAAUUCAAAAUUUUUCUAACAUCUUGUCCAAAAUUGCAAAUUUGCCCCAAAAAUUUUAAAUUUUAAAUUUCAUCCAAAGGGGUAACAAAGUUCCAUACCAUUAGUAGUUCAAAUUCCUUCUACAUUUGAGAUAAAUAUAUGUGGUUUAGGCACUUCUUUUCUCAUUUAACUUGGAAAUGACUAUUAUGUGAUUAUAAUUUUUGCAUUUGUAGGAAAGUAUAUCUUUUAAAGUGGAGAAAAUUAUGCCUAUAUUUUUUUUUUUUUGCAUAUUUGAUGAAAUUUCUUCUCUUUAUUGGAUUUUAUAAGUUAAGUGAUAAAUAUGGUCAAUAAUUGCAAUACUCUUCUCAUGAUUAUGCUUUCGAGGGAAUGUUAUUAUCUUUACUUAAAAAUAAAUAAAUAAAUAAAUAAAUAAAAAAGAAGAAAAAAAAAGA